UUUAUUACAUUAUCUUUGAAACGAAAUCUUCAAUAUGUGUUUGGUCUAAAUAAAUACUGGAGUAUUAAAACAUGAAAUAAAAAUUAGUAUAUAAACAAUGGAGUGAAAUGAAUCAUGAGUUAUACUUUGCUUACUUUGAAUAUUUUCGUUGCCAAAAGUAUUAUAUAAUGUUUAAAUAUGUUCGAGAAGGUGAUGUCCGGUCUACCGGAAUUUUCUGUUUUUGUGUCUUAUAUAUAGUUUUCCGAUCUAUUCGGAUUUCUCUUUCUUCUUAGUCAGUUUAAUUUCGUCUUAGUUUAUUUCACUUGUUGACUAAGAUAGAACUAUAUCUCUUUUGUUCUACCCUCUUUCUACAUAAAAUUAAUCAAUAUCCCGUUUGCUCUUGAUUGGAUUAGCCAUCAACUUGAUUCUUCUCUCAAGUUAAGAGUAAUAUCUUCGCUACUAAAUCUUCGUCGUUUGUGAUCGAAGUUGACCUCAUCAUUAGGUCUUAGGCGGAGCUUCUUCUUGGAGUAUGGAUUGAGUUGUAUAAUUUCCUUAGGGUAACUCCAAUUUUAAAGACAAGCGGUUAUAAUUGUAGAAGGAUGGUUCAAAGAGUAUGAUUUCAAGCUUUCAUCUCUAAGUUAACGUCUCCAUCUGGUUUGCCAUCACAAAGAAGCGGUUAUGAGCAAUCAAUUUUAUCAAGAUCGGCGCCGGAGCAAAGAACGGUGGUGAGCAAUCAAUGGUGUUCCAUUGGUUUUCUCGCAUCAUCUGACGUAUGGGCCCUACUGUGUUUUGUAUCUAACACGUGUCUUGUACGUGUCUUAUAUGUAGUUGGGUUCAUUUGGGCUUAAAAGGCUUGUAUCUACUCUUGUAUCUUGCUCAUUAUGAGCUUUCGUUUAUAAAACGAGUUGCCGACAAAAAAAAAAAAAAAAAAUAUGUUCGAGUGACAUGUAAAGCGAAAAAGGUGACCACAUUUUCACCGCAAAUAAUCGGCCUCUCCUUUUGCAUUAUUUUAAUAUUUUAGUGUGGAAGUUUUUGGGUUAAAGAAAGCAAUAUAGCCUAAAGACCGUCCAAAUCAAAUGUUUCGAUGUUUUAUUAGGAUCCGACGAUAAUACUUAUUAUAUAUAUCAACUGACAAAUCUUUUGGAAAAUUAAGAUAUCAUGUGGAUGUUUGCACUCACAUGAGUCCUUCUCAUCAAUGUGCAUGCUUUUUUGUCGUUUUCAUUAAAGCGCUUUGAUUUUAUAACUUCUUUGUUUUCCCUUCUUCAUGGCUUUGUUUCUUUUUUCUUAUAAUAUACAUUUUUGUCCUUUUUACUAGUCAAGUACAGUUUAUGCUCUUAUGAUUCUUAUCAGCGAAAACUCCUAUUUAAGUUAAACUCCCCUCUUGUUUUUUCCUUAAUUCUAAAUCAUCACUGAAACUCUAUUACAAUUUCAAGUUUUUUUUUUGGUUUCUCAAUUACUAUCUUCGUUUGUAUCAGUUAAUAGAGAUGUAUAGAUGCACAUUUAACCCACCUGAGGAAGAACUCAUUAACUAUUACUUGAAUAACAAGAUCACAGAGAAUGAUGAUCUAGUGGGAAGGCAAAUAACCGAAGUCAAUAUAUGUCACCAUGAACCUGCAGAUUUACCUGGUAAUUAUUAUAUAUAAACCAUAAAAUCCUAAACCCUAAAUCUCAUGUUUACACUCUAACAUUUCUUCUUUAUGUUUAUCUGUGGUUUGAAAAGGGCUGGCGAAGAUAGAAUCGAGUCACACUUGGUACUUCAUAUCGCCGGUGGAGAAGUUUGGAAAGCUGAACCGAACGAAGAGGGCGUCGAGGACAGGGCACUGGAAGAUAACCGGGAAUAGUCGUACCAUUAAGGACGUUGAUGGUAACCCUAUCGGUUUAAAGAAGUUUCUUGUUUUUCAAGAAAACAAAAGAUCUUCUUCUUCCUCGUCAUCCACCACUACCACCCAACAACAAAAGACCAAUUGGAUUAUCCAUGAAUUUCAUUCCUUUCUCCACCAUCCCAACAAGGUAUCUAUAUCUACAUAAUACAUAUAUAAACAGAAGUGUUGAAACAUUAACUAGUGGCUGACUCUAUAUAAAUUCAUUUGAAGGAUGCAUUUGUUCUCUGCAAACUAGUGAAAAAGACAAGAACUAGACGGAGUGGCGCCAUCUCAGAGGAUUUCCCGGCGGCUUUAGAUCAGUCUCUCACUUCAGACCCUAUCCUUCACCACUCCCAGGUUACUUCAGAAGUUAAAAUAUGGGAGGGAAACAAAUCAUUAAAUUCGUUACAAGAUUAAUGUUGGUUCAUACUUCAAUUUUAUAAACCAAAAAAUGUUUUAUUUAUAACGUUUCAGCCUUAAUUAUUUUCUUAAAAAUGAUCUAUAAUUAAUUUCAUUUUUUAAAAAGGAAGUUAAAGUUUUAAACAAUACUUUUGGUUAAUCUGGUUCGGUCUUUAUUACAAGUUGUUCAGAUAAAAGUCAUAGAAUUACUGUAUUUCCUGUUUUGUUUAAAGUUUAAGAUUAUUUGAUUUGAUAUGAAGUUUAUAACCAAAUUUGAAAUAUAUUUGACUAUUUUUAGAUGCUGACGGAGAACAAGAACGAAGAUUAUGGCGGAGAUUAUUGUAAUGGCUUAGACGAGCUUCUCCCUGUAUAUAACACCAAUAAGUGGUUUGAUCACUCUCAAUACUCUCAUCAAUUCGAUCAUUUUCAUUGGGAUUGUUUCACCGAUUUAACGCAGGUACGUAUGUAAAAUAAUUUUAAAAUAAGAAAAUAAUAAUCCGAUUAUCAUAAAUUACUUGUUUUCAGAAAUAUAAUCUAUUCACAUACAAAUUUAUAGCAUAAUAGUUACGGUACAAGUUUCCUACUAAUUAAAAACAAAAACCAAAAUUGGCUUCACAGUCAUUGGAACAAGGUGAAUCCAGCGGCCUCCUUCUCGGAGAAAAUGGACACGCGUAUGAACAAGACACCACAGAAAACUCCAAUGUGAGACCACUUUAACGGAAACAUUUUCUUUGCCAACUAUAUAACGAAUUAUUUAUUCAAAAAAAAUAGUAGUAUUAUUAUUAUUAUACUUUUGAUUCUCUGUUCCGCAUGAUUUGGGAGUAGGGGAAUGUGAAGUAGUAGUGGUGGCCCAAGUUAUGUUUCCAAACGCCAAUAACGACCAAAUCUAGAUGACAUUUGGUCACGUGGAAGCAUCAAGUUUCAGGCGCCGCACUUGCUUUUCAACGAAUGGCUCAGUUUCAACUACUUCGAGAAAAAAUCCAAAACCAUAAAGGCUAUUUGAAAUCUUCUUUACAAUUUCUUCUACUAUUAUAUUGCUUUGUUGUUGUACUAUAUUUCACGGCCUCCCAUGAAUAUUUUAAAUAUAAAUAAAAGUGGUGGGCGCAUGUCUUUUAUGUUCUGAAGAUUCAAAUCCAAUGAAACAACAUUAAUUCAGCAAAUUGUAACCAAAUCCUAUAUUAUACUGAACUAUCAUCAUAAUUCAAAAACAUUAAUCUAUAGUGCAUAUUUAUGAUUAGUCAAGUAAGUUCUACAAACUAAUUGGGCAUAUCACAUGUAAUUAGUCCAGUACUUCAACAAUUUCUCUUGGUUUUUUUCUUUGAAACACAAUCCUAAACAUGUAUGAAAUAUAAAUUGAAUUGAAGACCAUACCAGAAACAACUAAGUAAAGUUCAACCUACCUCAAAUAUUGUAGUACUCGAAGCUCCAUUUUGGCUACUACAAGGGAUUGGAGGGUGAUUAAGCUCAAUUACACAAUCAGAAUUACCAGGAGUAUCCUUGUCUUCACUUUUAAACUCUACUUUGCAGACAACAUAUGCUCUCUGUCCAAAUCAAGUUAACGUUUUUUUAAACCCGUAAGAGAUCUUACUAGAAAAGUUUGAGAAAUGCGGUCAAAAUCACAUUAAGAAAAAGAUCAAAUAUCACAUGGAGACCAUAAUUAAAACAACCCAGCACUAGACUAACAACUACGCCGAAUCAACUUUAUUCUCUUUUUUCAAGUUUUAGUUUUUACCAAUCUUUAUAGAAAGUAUAUACGACAUAUCAUUAACAUGAGUUGUUUAAAUGGUCUCUCGACUUCCUAAACCAAAGCGGUUGGUCGUCAAAUCAGUAAUACCAAAAAUGUAACCUUAAAUUUGAUUGAUCUUAGCUUUAGGGCUGAUUUACGGCUAAUCUGCAGAUUCACACAACAGAGUUACCAAAAAAAAAAAGUCUAAUGGCUAUAAAUUAUAGAAUUGAAAAAUUACCUGAUCGGGAGGCAAAAACGUGGGUUGAUACACGUGCAUUACCCAAUCGGAUUUGGAUCCAUUAGGAUUUGCACAAGAUUGAAACACCAAAACUUUCUUCUCACCAAUCUUAACACCAUUGGUUCUUUUCCUCUUACCGAUGAUUGGUGUGUUGGAUCCGGUUUCUUUCCAAUAACCCGAACUCGUUUUCCAUAUUUCUUCGUUAAACUUAUAGUCAUCACGACUAUAGAAGUACCAUACCUUAUUAUCAUUACUACACUUCUCUUUGAUUUGGCUAUAAUAAAAAAAAAAAUUUGAUAAAAAACCGUAGAUCAUAGAUUAGUCAGUAAUUAAUGAUUUAAUCAGAAAUCAUGAUCCAGUAAUUAAUCAAACCUACAUGGCAAAUCCCAAGGAUCGUAACUAGAGAUUUCAACGGUGGUAAUGAAAUGAUUGACAUCGCCUUCCUCGAUGCCGAGAUGUUUUAGCCGGAGGUAAUAGUCGAUGAUGACGUCAUCUGUCGGCCGGAAUCUAAAAUCUGCGGGAUAGUCUAUUCUGAUCGAGUAAACCCUAAAAUUAAAAACAAUAGAGAGCGAUAAUAAAUGCAAAAAAGGGUUUGCACUUUUUAUAUAUAGGCAAGUUUUAAAAAACAAAAUUCCUUUUGUUUGGGCAACACAAGAAAAUUCCUUAAUUCUAAAUAAGAUAUCUAUAUAUACAUUUUUGAAUGACUUUUAGCAAAUAAAUCCUGGAGUUGGACCUUAUUUACGGAUGAAUGCCAUUGGCAUUAAUUAUUUAAAUUUGAAAAAUAUUACUUAAAGAUAUUACCAAUACGAUUUCGAGAAUCAUAAAUUCAUAUCUUCCUUAAUUUUCUGAGUCAUUAAUGUGAUAAUCUUUAGGAAAUAUUUCUCUGUAAAAAAAAAAAUCCACAUUAAUGAAGGCAUUAAAAUCGACACUAACAAUUAAAUUAUUUAGAUGUUCAAUUAUUUUAAGAUACUUAUAUCUUAUUUGAUAUAUUUUUUUUAAUAUCUCAUUCUUUAAUUACUGCGUUUAGAAUUUAUUGGUUGUUACCUAUUUUUUGGUGAAAUUUAUUGGUUGUUACUUAAUAAGUAAUUAUGGUGCGUUUAUUUUAGUUAAUAUCUAAUUUAAAGGAUUUGUUUUCUUUUAUUAUUAAUAAAUGAAUAACAUGUAUAGAAAUAAAAGAUUUUUUUUGCGACUCCAUAAUAAAAAUAUUAAACUCUUAUUUUCUACAUUUCUUACACAUAAUAUCCUCUUAUUCAAUAACAAAAAAUAUAUAUUACAUAUUUUUAAAAAUAUUUAUAAUAUUUAAAUUAUAUAAAAAAUUUGUAAUAUUAAUAUUAUUUCAACUCUAUACAAAUUUAAUAUAUAUGUAUAUAUAUCUUAUGGGAACCAUUUAAAAGAAAUUUUUAAAUUGACUUGAAUUAUAUAGCUUUUAAAUAAAAGUAUUAUUAAAAAGAAAAAUAACUAAAUAAUGUUUAAUUUCACGGGACGGGUAAUAUGAUGGGACGGGUUUGGGUUGAUAUUUAUAAAAGAUCGUAUACCACGGGUGAAAUCCUAAAAUUAACAAUCAAAAUAAUCUAUCAAACAAAUUACAUUUUGAUUUUUUUAAGAAAAUAUAGCCCCGCGGUGUACCGCGGGUUAAAAUCUAGUACAUAACAAACGAGGUAAGUUGAUGUAUAAUAAGAAAGUCUUGUAAGUUGAACGCCGAAACAUAGGAUUUAAUCAAGAAACAAAAUGAAAUUAAUUAAGAAGAAGGAAAAAAACAAAAAUUAAUUGAUACUCCCUCCGUUUCAAAAUAUAAGGCGUUUUAGCUAAGAGCACGUCGAUUAAUAAGAUCUACUUUUUAAAAGUUCAGUCAAUCAUAAAAGAGACUGCAUAAUAAAAAUAAUCAUAAAAUAUUAAAGUAAUAUAUAAUUUGUAUAGAAACUUGAAAACGACUUAUAUUUUGAAACAAAACAGUUUCUCCAAAACGUCUUAUAUUUUGAAACAGAGGGAGUAUAUGAUAAUGCAAACAAUAACCUUAUUUAAGAGGAAGGAAAAUAAAAGUUAGCAUUAGUCUAAUGUGUUUUGGACUUAACCAUCAACAUGACAACAUGCACGUGUAUAACAUAUAUGAUGUAGACUUAAAAGUCCAAAAGAGAGUCUUGACAUUACUAAAAUGAAGCAUAUUGAUUUGAAAUUUAUUCUUGUUUUCUUUUGUUGAACGGAAUUUGGUUUGUGGGGUUAGGUAGGAGGACUAGAAGAGUACUUCGAUGUUGAUUGCUACGUCAAAGAAAAUUUGACCAUUUGGUUAGCUGUAUGAGUUGAAAUUAUACAACUUUGUCUUCACAAUGGAACCCACACACACACACACAAGAUGAGAAAGUUACAAAACAAGAUAGAAAUUGUUAAGUCAACUGAUAAAAACUUGUCUUCUCUAACCACUUUCUUAUCAUAAAUUCACCAUUUUUAUAUAAUAUUAGGACACACAUACAGUACGGAAAACUUAAAAAACAAGAAAGACAUAACAUAUACUUGUACAGAUUUUGGAAAGUAGAAAAGGUGUUUUUGACCACUUUUAUUGCUAUCAAGUUCUUGAGAUAGAAGAACAAAGGUGAAUUUUCUUGACGAAUUUUUGUAUCAUCCUGUGAAAGAAACCAGCACUUUUCUUCUUGAUCGUCUCUUGACCCAAUUUAUGCUCUCCAAUCUCAGUCUCUUGUGCAUCAUUAGAAGGAUUCUUCUUCUUCUCGGGUGUAUCGAUACUGGUUAUCAGAGCUUGGCUCACCUAAAAAUCAAAUCAAAGAACCCAAAAUGUUGUGAGUACCGCUGGCACAAAGUAGGAUUAGGUUGCCUCAGUGAAAGAGAGCUAAUAAAGCUCACCUCUUGAGUUAGUGACACUAACUUGAUUGUUGAUUUAGGAGAUUGUUUCAGGUCUUUGAUUUUGUCUACGCGAUGAUUUGAGCUACCAAAACUAUCACAAGUGCUCGAAGUUUGAAUAGAAUUCUGUGAUAUCCCACCAAAAUUAGCUUUGUGAGAUGGAAGCUGAAAACAGAGAAAGACAUAGUUUUUUUUUUUUUUUGAAACCAAAACUUUUGCUUACCGUAGUUGCAGAUAGCAAAUCCGAAUCAUUAUCAUCACUGCUAUAAUCACUGAAGACACCAGUUAAUGACUUUGGAGGUCUGUACUCAUUGCGAUUAUCUUGCAUAAACAUGAUACUCCUCUGUUCACCAGCAUCAUCAUCAUUCAACCAUGUUUCCCAUUCCUCUCUCGGUAUAGCAUCCUCGAUUUGAGCUUCUUGCUGCACAUCACCAACCCGACUUGGAUUCUGUAACUCUUGGCUGUGAAAGGACGAUCCCUGAAAAAUGGAAGAACACAAAACAAGUCGUUGUCAGAUUUAAAAGACAGAAACAAACAGAGAAAGUUUCGAGAUUGACCCACCUCAGAAUUGUUCUCAAGAAGAGGGAUUAAAGAGGGACGACUCUGCUCAAUUCCACUACCAUGAGAAGAAGAAGAAGAAGAAGCAGAAGGAAUCUCUCUCACGUCACCCUUAAACAUAACUUUACAGAUUGUGUAUGUCAUCAUCAUCUGUAAAACAAUUCAAUCAAAAACUCACAAUCCCCCAAGCAAUGAAAUCGCAAAGAAACAGAGAGUACCUGAGUAGGAGAGAAAGCGUGGUACUCGUGCAUAACCCAAUCGGAUUUAGAUCCACCGAGUUCCUUACUGUAGUAAAACAUCAAAAUUCUUUUCUCACCGAUCUUUUGGCGAUUACGCAUGAUAGCCUUUGGUUUACCAGUAAUCUUCCAAAACCCAGAUUUCGUUUUUCUAAUCUGUUGCUCACCUCUGCCAUAUUUGUUCUCCUUAGGGCUGAAGAAACACCAAGACUCAUCUUUCAGUUUUAUCCUCGACUGGCCUACCAACAAAAACAAACCCUAGAAUUAGAAACUAGCCGAUGAUGAUUCGAUUCAACAGUGAGAAGGGGACUCGUGAAGACUUACAAGGUAACUCCCAAGGAUCAAAGCUACGGAUAGUGACUGUGCUAAUGACUCGAUCGACAUGGCUCGUGUCCCUUUCGAGAUUUUUUGGUCGGAGGUAAUCGACGACGAUCUCCUCGUCGGUCGGACGGAAUCUUAAACCCACCGGAUUCUCCAUUUCUCGACAGUGAUCAAAAACGAAGAGAAAAAGAAAAAGAAAAGGAUCAAAAAAAUAUGCAGCGGAGAGCUUUCGCCAUUGUUGCUGUUCUUCUGCAACUUAAUCGGAGAAGAAAGACGAAGAGGGUUUUAUUAUUUAUAAAUUUAUUUAACUGUCACGGUAAACUUACGCCUUACGCUAAGACAUGGGUUAUGUUUUGGAAUGGUAAAUACGUGGCACGUUUGUUUAUCACUUGUCUUAUUAUUUUAUUUAACUCUAGAUUAUACAUCGUAUCAAUUCCUUUAUAAUGUCCAUACCAAUCUUACCUUGCGGCUUUGUUUUUUUUUUUUUUAAUUUUAAUCAGAAAAGGAGGGGAAAAGAAGAUUUGCAAGUUGCAAUUAUUUUUUAAUCGAAAAUUGGCAUAUAGUGGCGUAUCUUUUCAUCAUGUGACGUUAGUUUCUCCCAACACGUAACUAAGAAAUUACAUUUAUUUGUUGAACAUGUUUAAAUGUUUCCCUUUAUUACAUUUUGUUGGCCCAUUUGGAAGAUAUACAAUGAGCAACUGAUUAACGUUAACGUCGAUGGUCCCUUAUCUAUGUCGAAACAGAAACAUAUACGAUGGUAUCUCUAUAUGCGAAUAGGAAGCUUCGUACAAGCCUUAACCAGAAAUAAAAUAAACUGAUAAACCUUUUGUUUAAAGGAAGAAAGAAUUGGCAUGCGUAUACAAAGUGAAUAUUCAAUUGCAAAAAUGGAAAAAAAAAAAAAAAAAAAAAAAAAAAAAGAAGUUUGUUAUAUGCGACGGCCUAGAUCAGUUUUGGAAUGAUACUGAAUGAUAAACACGUGGCAAGUUUGGUUAUCGUUUGUCACACUCACCGACUCACGUAUAUAUUUUCAUUUACUUAUAUCGCGUUCGUAAAUAAUAGAUAUAUUAUAGAACAGUGAAGUGGUGGGCCAAUACAUGUUACCAAACACCAACGACGACCAAAUCUAAAAUAUGUGACCUAAUUGGGCCACGUGGAAGCGUCUAAUUACACGCGCCGUUCUUACUUUUCAAGCAAGGCACAUUUUCAACUUUCAACUAAGGCCAUAAAAAUCUUCUUUACAAAUUUAGAGAAAUGUUAUUAUUUUUUAUUCUUUGGGUGUCGAUUUUAGAGAAAUGUUUGGUAACAGUUUUGCUGAAAUGAUUUUGUUUUGGAUUGGCUAAAGUAAGAAUCCUGUUCAAUUGUUUGUUUAUAAAAUAAAAAAUCUCACAAUGAGGAAGAAAACAAAAAAUGUAGCAUUAGUCUAAUGGGGUUUGGGCUUAAAGAUAAAAGCGACAAUAAAAGUCUUAUAGAGACUCUUGACAUUACUAAAUAGAAGCAUCUUGAUUUGAUAUUAUCCUUGUUUCCUUUUGUCGAGAACCUGAUUUUUUUUUGGGGGAUUAGGUAGGACUAAAAGACUCAAGGUUAAUUACUAUGUCAAUGAAAAUUUGACCAAUUUAUUAGUUGCAUCGUGUAUGAAUUGAAAUUAUCCAACUUUGUCUUCUCUGACUUCUCAUCACAAAUUCACCGUUUUUAUGAAACAAAAAAUAGGGGGACUUUACAAAACAAAAUAGACAUAACAUUUUGUUAGUUGUAUUAAUUGAAUUCAUACAACUUUAAUUUCCCUAACCACAUCUUAUCACAAAUCGACCCUUUUAAUAUAGAGAGAGUACAUAACAGUCACACAAAAUGGAAAAACAUAACAAGAUAGACAUAACUUAUACUUCUACAAAUUGUAAGUAGAAAAAGCUGUCCUUUGGUCUCAUCUAUUGUUAUCAUGUUCUUGAGAUAGAAGAACAUAGCUGCAUUUUCUUGACCAAUCUUUGUAUCAUCCUGUAAAUGAAACUUGCUCUUUUCUUCCUGACCGUCUCUUGACCCAAUUUAUGCUCUCCAAUCUCAAUCCCUUGACCCAGAGCUUGGCUCACCUGGAAAUAUUUUGAAAGAACCAACAAUUUAGAUAUCUCUAUACUGGUUUCAAUGUAGUGAGUGGUGAAAAGUGAAAACAAAGUAACAUGAUUAGCAUUUAGAGUAAAAAGAGAUAAUAAAUCUCACCUCUUGAGUUAAUGUCACUAACUUGAUUGUUGAGUCAGGAGAUUGUUGAGUUUUGAUUUGGUCUAUCCGAUGAUUUGAGCUAGCAAAACUAUCACAAGAGCUCCAAGUUUCAAUAAAAUUCUGUGACACCAACCAAAAUUAGCUUUGUGAGAUGAAAUCUCAAAACAGAGGAGAUUUAUAAAGGUAUAUAGUAGAACUUAGCUUACUGUAUUUGGAGAUAGCAAAUCAGAAUCAUUAUCAUCACUGCUAUAAUCAAUGAAGACACCAGUCAAUGGCUUUUGAGGUCUGUGGUCGUUGCGAUCAUCUUGCAUGUUCACAAUAUAAUUCAUCUGCUCAUCACCAUCAUCAUUCAACCAGGUUUUCCAUUCCUCAGUCGAUGUAGUUGCAUCAUCAAGCUGAGCUUCUUGGUGGACAUCAGAAAAGCCACUAAACUGACUUGGAUUCUGUAGUUCUUGGCUAUACGACGAUCCCUGAAAAAGGAUGUCCAUGACUAUGUGUAUGAGAAAUGAUAUCGAAGAUUUUAAAAGACAAAACAGAGAUAAGUUUGAGAUUGGCCGACCUCAGAUCCUCCAGAAUUGUUCACAAGAGGGAUUAAAGAGUGAAUCUGUUCAAUUUCACUACCAGUAGAAGAAGAAGAAAUCUCUGUCUCUUCACCCUUAAACUCAACUUUGCAGAUUGUAUACGUCAUCACCUGUACAAAAAUCAAAACACAGACGCAUCAAAACAGUGAAACCAAUCAACAUAUCAAUCAAAUCACAACAGCCACACAAAACCCCAGAAUUAGGUCAAUUAAACAACAGAUUAAACCCUAAGAACCUGGAAUUAGGUCAAGCAACCAAAAAAAACCCUAAAAGUUUGGAUUUUAAGAAAUUACCUGAUUAGGAAACAAGGACGUAGCGUGAUACUCGUGCAUAACCCAAUCGGUCUUGGAACUAUCUCGAUUCUUAAACACCAAAACCCUUUUCUCACCGAUCUUCUCACGAUUACCUCUUUUGCGCAUGAUAGUCAAGGUUUUUCCAGUUUUCUUCCAAAAGCCAGAAUUUGUUCUUCUUCUCUGUUGAUCACCUCUGUUAUACUUCAUCUCUUUAAGACUAAAGAAAUACCAAACCCCAUCACUCGAUUUGAUCAUCGACUUGGCUGUGAAUAAAAAAACAGAGGAAUUCAGAGCCGAUGAUUUCGAAUUCGAUACAACAGUUUGGGAAAAAAACUUUACUUACAAGGUAAAUCCCAAGGAUCGGAGUCACAGAUAUCGACUGUGCUAAUGACUUCAUCGACAUGGCUCGUGUCACUAUCGAGAUUUUUUGGCCGGAGGUAAUGGUCGACGAUCUCUUCGUCGGUCGGACGGAAUCUGAAACCCACCGGAUUCACCAUUAUCCGAGAAAAAGGGGUCAAAAUAUGUAGCAGAGAGGUUUCGCCAUUGACGAUGCUCUGCAAGUUUUGUGUUUUUUUUUUAUAGGAGGAAGACGAGUUAAGUGUGUUUAUAAUUUUUUUUAUAUAAAGGCUGUGACGGGAGUAAGUGACGUCAUCUAUGACCAAAUGGUGGGACCAAAUUAGUGUGUGACGUCAAGUAUGACGAGAGACGGACCCAUCAUCCCAAGAGUCACAUGGGAUUAGCAAUUAGCUUGUUUUAUUCGGUUUUUUUUUUUUUUGGAUCAAAGGUCGUUUUUUUUUCUUUUUCUUCGGCAUUUGUGGAGAUUUCAAAUCCAAAAAAAGAUAAAGUAUUAAAAUAAUAAAAUAAACAAGUGGAAAUUGAUGAAAUAAUAAAGUGCUAAAGCUACCCCUAGGGGCUAGUGGCUAAAAUCAAUCACAGAAGCUGAAUGGAUUUAGACAUAUUCUAUCUUUGUUUAAUUAAUGCCUUCCUUUUAUGACCGACCGCCUUCACGAUCAGAAACUAUUUACAUUUCUGGUUCGUUUUAUAAAGGUAAAAUACACAAUAAAAAAAAAAAGUAAAGGUAAAAGAUUUAUCUAAUUAUGACGACCUUUAAGAUAUUCUAAAUGUUUUAGGCCUACUUUAGUAAAAAGUUAGCAUUAGCCUAAUGGGGGUUUGGACUUCACCAUCAACAUGAGUAGAUGACAACAUGAGCGUGGUACACAUAUGAUGUAGACUAAAAGUCCAAAAGAGACUCUUGACAUUACUAAAAUCAAGUAUAUCUUGAUUUGAUAGAUAAUAUUCGUUCUUGUUUUCUUUUGUCGAACCUGAAAUCUUUUCAGGGGGUUAGGCAGGACUAGAAGAGUCGAGCUACGUUGAUUGCUACGUGAAAGAAAAUUUGACCAUUUGGUUAGCUGUAUGAUUUCAAAUUAUACAACUUUGUAUUCUCUAACCACAUCUUAUCACAUAUUCACAAUUUUAUUUUAAUAUACAUACAAUGUGGAAACGUUACAAAACGAGAAAGACACAUAACAUAAACUUCUACAGAUUUUGAAAGUACAAAAGGUGUCCUAUGAAACAAAAACUUUAGCUUUGUGAGGGUAAAUGUGAAAACAGAGGAUUAGAAAGGUAAGAUAGUAGAUUUUUGCUUACUGUUGUAGCAGGAAUCAAAUCACAAUCAUUAUCAUCACUGCUAUGAUCAGCGAAGACACCAUCAGUCAUUGGAUCUUGAGGUUUUUGAUCGCUGCGAAAUCCCCUUGCAUAGAAACAAUGUUACUCUAUCUCUGCUCAUCAUCAUUGAACAAACUGUCCCAGUCAUCAGUCGAUAUAUUGUUGAUAGCCCUGCGCACUGCAUCUUCCAGUUGAGUUUCUUCCUGCACAUCAAGUUGUUGUCAGAUUCUCCAUGACUAUGAGAUAUGAUUUGAAAGACAAAAAGUGAGAUUGACCCACCUCUGUCUCUACACUAAAAACUCCAAAAUCGUUGGUAUGAGGGAUCAAAGAGUGAGUAAGCUCAAUUCCACUACCAGAAGAAACAGAACCCUCUCUGCUUUCACCCUUAAACUUGACUUUGCAGAGUGUAUAUGUCAUCAGAUUAGGAGACGAGAACGUAGCGUGAUACUCAUGCAUAACCCAAUCGGACUUGAGACUCUUGUUAAAGUAAAACAUCAAAACCUUUUUCUCACCGAUCUUUUCGCGAUUUCCCCUUUUGCGCAUGAUAUUUAUGGUAACUCCAGUUUUCUUCCAAAAACCAGACUUGGUUUUUCUCAUCUGUCGAUCACCUCUGUUAUAUUUAUUCUCCUUACGACCAAAGAAAUGCCAAACCGCAUCACUCGAUUUGAUCAUAGACUGGGCUGGCAAAACAGAACAAGAAACUAUUUUAACAGCUGUUGGGAACCAAAAAAAAAUAUAUACACUCGUGAGUGUACUUAAGUAAAGACUUACAAGGUAAAUUCCAAGGUUCUAAGCUACAGAUAUCGACUGUGCUAAUGACUUCAUCGACAUGGCUCGUGUCACUUUCAAGAUUUUUCACCCGGAGGUAAUGGUCGACUAUCUCCUCGUCGGUCGGACGGAAUCUGAAACCCACCGGAUUCACCAUUUUCCGACGAUGACAAACGUUUCAGAUCAAAAAGCAAGAGAAAACGAAGAUAUCAGAAUAUGAAGCAGAGAGCUUUCUCCUUGGUUUGUGUUUAUAGAUCAAGAGGAACUAUUACCGACAAGGGUGGACCCAUUAAGCAGGUAUGAGGGCCGGGCAAAUUCUCUUAGGUGAGCGAAAGCUAAAAACAUAAAAAAGCUAAAUAGUCAAUGCCUUCUUAUGUGACAGUCUUUUGUGACAGUCUUAUGUGACAGUCUUAUGUUCUCCAUUCAUAUUCACUUUUCGCGUUUCUCAUACCUUUCUUCUCUUUUGUUUUCUUCUAACAUUUAUCAGUGAGACGCUAUUAAUGUCCUUAUCAAUCUUUGAUUCACGAAUAAGAGAAAUAUAUUCCACCCACUAGAUCUCUUAAUUUUGUGACUUUUGCUUUGAGUGAUAAAAAAAAAGGGUUUGUAAGUUGCAAUAUUGCAUUUUGAUAAAACAUUGGCAUAUAGUGUGGCAUUUUUUCCCAUAUAGUUAUUGCACUAUCAUGUGACAGUUGUUACUCCCAAGUCCCAACACUUAAGAUGAAAUAUGCAUUUCCUUUUCUUUUUUUCCUCAUGUAUGCUCCCCUUUACUAAAUUUGAUGGCCAUUUUGGAAAAUAUAUACAAUGAGUUUAUGUUUAACGUUGACUUUAACAUUAAUGAGUUUAUUUAGGUAAAUUAUUUAUGUCAAAACAGAAGCUUUUUAAGUUAAGCUUAUAGAUUCGAUAACAAAAAGUAAACCACAUUUUAGUUUGUAUAUAUAUAUAGGAAACUUCGUAGAAGGCGACAAGGGGUAACCAGACAUCAUAAAAGUAAAAGCCGAAUAGGAGGAAUUAGCAUUCAAUUUGUGAAUAUUAAAUUUACAAAAGACAAAAAAAGAGUUGAACCUUGUUUCAUAUGACUAUCGGCGAUUAGCUACUACCAAAACUAAUGUGUUAUUUUAGUUAAAUUAUUUCAAAUUUUUUAUUUAUAUCUAACAUGUCUAGGUUUAAAUUUCCAUAUUCGAAGUGAUGUAAAACUUGAUUGGUACAUCAUAAUGAAUAGAGUACAGUGAAAUAAUCCAAUGGUCAAAUAACAAAAAGCUUUAGUUUAAUACUAAUAGACAAAUAGUUUCCGUUGAAUCAUCAUUAACUAAACACUAAAAAAACUUAUUUCACUGGAUUAAUGAUAUUUAUUAAUUUUAGUUCGACUCUUAUCUUUUUAAUUAAAGCUAGUUAUAAUUUUAGAAUGUAGCUCUUCACUUUUUUGUAAAACAAUAACGUCAAAACUUGAUAAAUAUUAGAGAUGAAUAACGAAAAGUAGUAGAAUCACGUUUUCAAGCUGAAAACUGCUUAUACCAUUCAUUACGUAUAAUUGUGAUAGUGUUUGUUUUUCAAUGAUACAAAUAUGGACACUGCUAUGAAUAUUGAAUUACAAAAAGUGUGGAAGAAAAUCCUUCACAAAGAGAAAAGAAAGCAUAUAUGCAGAGUGAGCUAUGAUUUACUUGAUAAGGAGGAGACCAAUGGCAGUGACGAUGAGUGUUGAAGGUAAACCGAACUUGAAGUGUUUAGUGAAAGUCAGAGUGUAGCCAUGGCUCACUGCUCUACGAGCUUGCUCACACACUAUCAGGUUUGCUGCUGAACCAAGCAACGUCAAGUUUCCAGCCACCGUGCUCACCCACGCCAGCAACAACCACGCCUUCUUCUCCUCCUCCCUCCCCAUCGCUGAUGCCGCCACUCUUGCUCCCAAUAAAAGCACUGCACACAAUUUGAUUUAAAAAGAAUUGAGUCAUGUAAGGUUCCUUUGGAAUCAAGAUUUUGUCUGAAGUUGUUUGUGGAGGCAGCAUAAGAUGCUUAGUUUUAAGGAUAAUGAUGCUACCGGUUGGUACAUUGGAGGCUACAUUGGAGAGGACAAGAAUCACAACUGCUAGAACCGCCGUUCCUUUGGCUUCAUCGAUUUUGGCAUAUGGCUCCAUUAGAUCCCAUAGAGCGGUAGGGAUACCUGUUUUGUUGAAUCCAUCAACGGUAAUGAACAUCCCGCAGAAGAAGAUCAAUAGCGAAUAUGAUACCUGCCAACCACAACAGAAGAAUUUGAAACUUCGAUUAGAUCUAUAGUUGAUUUGUAUCUUAAAAGAGUUAAGAGAAAAUAUGGUUUCACCUUCUCGAGAGACGGCCUUGCAUCUUUAAAAUCAAGAACGACAAGAGCUAGAGCUGCAGUAAUUGCGGUCCACGACAUGUUUAAACCCAUAACCAGAGAUAUCAGCAUUCCUAAUGUGAUCAAAUAGACACUUGAUUUCCAUAAAACUCUUCUCCAUUUCUUGGUAUGGAAAACAUUGCUCUCUCCUUGAGACUCUGCGUCAGUUUGUUCUCUUGACGCAUUUGAAUCGCGGCUCAUUAAUUCACUCUCACCUGCAGAAACCGCUCUGUUUCUAAGCGUCUCGGGAUCCAUUCUGAAGUUUGAUUCUUCGGAUGCAACUGGUGAAAAUGUAGCUGGCGAAAACCGAUGUGAUGUGACAUCUUCUUCAGCAACAGCAAGAACUUCAGAAUCCGCAUUUUCUCCUGCUUCUUCUUCGUCCUCUUUAUGAUCUGACAAUAGCCGCCAAUACAUACCGAGAAGAAGCAUAGCAUUGACGGUAAUACCAACAAUCAUCGCAGGAAAAACCCCAAGAAGAAACUCCCAAAAGGGGAUCUUGCUUUGAACCGCGAUAACAAGAUUCUGUGGAUUCCCAAUGGGAGUAGCAGAAGAACCAAUAUUCGCACUCGUGGCCAAAGCGAGCAAAAAAGGGUGAGGCGGGAGGUUCUUUUGCCUAGCGAUCUUCAACACAAACUCGGUUAAAACCACACAAGAUGUAUCGUUAGUAAACAGAGCGCUUGAAACCGCGGAGACAAGACAGACUCGACAUAGCAAGUCUUUAGGUCCUUUACUCUUCCACGAAAGCAAUGUGCCUAAGUACUUGAACAUAUCAGCUCUCUCAAGAUAUAUACUAACAACCAUUGUUCCAAAGAGAAGACCGAGUAUCGGAAGAUCAAUGGCUGCAUAAGCUUGUUCCGGGGUUAUCACUUGGAAGAUAACCAUUAACAUUGCACCGAACAGAGAACCGGCGGUUCGACCAAUUGGUAGGAACGGCACAGAGGGAAACACUGCUAAUACCCAGAAAAUGGCAAAGGCUAUUGAUCCUAAAACCAGCUUUAUAACUGGAGCCAUUGCCAUUUUCUGAUCUCUGGAUUUUCAGAUCAAUUACAAAAAAAGCAUGGACCUUUUAUUAACCCUAGUAGUGAAAUUGGAGGCUGUGAAAUCCAGGAUUAGAUCAGAAACCCCAAGAAAAAUCUCAGGACGUUGACGAUCGUCUCUGUUGAAAAACAAGAAAAAAAGGGCAUUUAAAUUUUCCAAGUCAAAAAGACAGUAAUUGGAUAAUCAAACAAAUUUGACCACUUUCUGACACAUAAAGAGAAAUUUCUCGAAUAUAAGUUUUAAAAUUCAGUUUCUGAAGAAGUAAUCGAAGACGAGAGUGUGACAAUUUCAAAGAAGAACGCUCAGAGAAGAAAAGGACUCACCUUUAUAGUUCACCACGACGAACUCCAACAACCAAAAAGACAGCCUUUCCAAUUUUCUUUAAUUUCAAUAAAAGUGAAGACACUGAAAAGCUCUCUCUGUUUGUGUUCGCUGUUUCAGAUCUUCCCUUUAAGCAAUUUUUCAUGAAAUUAACAAUGAUUUUUUGACACGUCAUUUGGAUUAAUCAAGUGUUUCUUUUAUUAUAACAGCCAAAAUUGAAGUGUUAAAACUAUUAUUAACGAGUCAACUCUUUUGUUGAUAGAGAUUAGAGACCAACAUGAUAAUGUACUUUAAAAAUAAGAUAAAUUUUUUAAUCCAUCUUAUUGGCUCAAAGUUUAAAAUUCCUUUAAAUUCCACAAAAAGUCGAUUCAUUAAGAAAACAAAAUCUUUAAUUCUAUCAGAAACAGUGUUGCAAUUACAAAACUAUACAAAAUACAAAGGUUUUAGUAAACUUCUCAUUGCAAAUCUCAAUCUCAUUGCUUCUUUACAUUUACAAGAGCCAUAAUAAACAAAACUUAGCUGCAUAGCAUUUUGACCGGCGAGAAUUGUACGGUGAGGCAAGCAUGAUCGGACAGAUUGUAAUUCUCCGGCCACAAUCCUUUCUCUGCUUCUUGUGGAUACAAUACAGCUUUAUUCACUUUCAAUCCGAUUGCUUCAUCAUCUCCUUCAUCUUUGUCACUCUCCAUCACACUCUCUUUGCAGUUUCCAGGUUCAUUUACCAUCGUCAUGUUCCAAAUUUUCUGACAUUACAUAACACACACAUCAGAGUCUUGAUUGACGUUUUAAACAAAGCUACCGGUUUGUGAUUUCCGUUUUACGCUAAUUGGUUUAGUUUAAUUUACCUUAAGUUCUUCAUAGUCGAAGACACCAUUUCCAUCAAGAUCAGCUCGAACCCAUAGCUCUUUCGUCUCUUCGAAGCUAAGUCCAUGUGGAAUUCCCGUAAGAUUUACCUACCCAACAAUAUCAAAUUUUGAUGUCAGCUAAAAGUCCAUUCAUCGUUCAAAGAAAUUGUAAAUAUCUGGAAGAACUUAUUUGAUCCUUAUUCUACUGUUAUGAUAAGUGAAAUCUCUAGAUGACCACAAAGUGUUUCCAGAAGUGUCAAAUUCCAGUUAGAAUUUGUAAAUUGAAGAUUUUUUAACAGCAUUUGUGGAUAAUUGAGGUCUCUCUAGGCUCUUUUUUUCCUGAAGAAAAUACGUAUUUACCUUUUGAAGGGCAAGGCAAAAGUCAGAGUAGGUGAGUGAAUCACUGUGAUUAUUUGCCCCAAGAAAAGCAAAGACAUCGUCCUCGGCUAUGGAAGCUUUGUGGAGUUGAUACUGGAAGAAUCAUCAAGAGAAAUCAGAAAUAAACUAAAGUGGACAUGAAAAUAUAGUUUAGGAAAAAAAGUAAAUUUGGAAAGAAUGAGACAUGACACUGUAAGUAUGAUGCGACUCGACAUUUUAUAAUUCUGAAAAUCUCACCUUGAUAAUGCUAAAAACAGCUUCCACCCAACUUGUUCUCAAUGGUUUUCUCGAAUCGCUAGGGUUACAGAGCCAUAUGAAAUCAACUCCGCAUAUAUUUCCCCUGUGGUUUCUGUGGCUAACCCACUGAAGAAAAAAAUGAGAGAAAGACGGAUAAGGAUGUCUCUUUUAGAAUAUGAGCCGAGUUUUAUAUAACAUAAGGCUGGAGAAAAAAAGUUUGUAAAAGAUGUCUUACCCUAUGAGCAUCACUGUCGGUAUACUGGUGAGCAUCGUCGUAUGAUGAUAUGAACCCUUGAGAUCUCAAGAAUUUGUAGACAUGCCCGCGUUUGCUUCCAUUCCAGUCACUGAAAUAAGCAUAAUUCAAAAGUCUGUGAUUACAUUUUACCGGUGGAGGGGCACAAUUUCAAGACUCUAAAGACCAGAAGCUAACCCGCAGAGAAUAAUGGGCAUGUGAUUAAGUUUAUUUUCCUUUUGGAAAGCUUCCAGAUAUUCAAGAAUUUUGUAAACCUGUUAAGAGGAGCAGAGAUAAUCAAAUUAAACUAUCACAAGAUCCAAGGGGAGCGGUCUCAAAAUGCUAAAUGAUGGGAAGGAUGACCAACCUGAUGAAGUCUUACAAUAGACAAACUAGAAUCGUGAGGAAACAACAGGUGAGUGUUCACUAUAAUGACUUCUUGUUGAACAUCUUGCUUCCCAUUAAGCGGAAAGGGAAUAACUGUUUUGACAUGUAAGAGCUGAGCAACACGGUCUCCAAAAUCGUUAAAGAGCAGCUCCCGGUAAUUUACAACUUUAAAGUGGUCCUUAUGUAUGGCUGUUAAAAGACCUGUAAGCAAGUCCACAAAUGAGACAUCAAAGGCGAAGAAGCCUAUCUUUGAUAGCAUUGACUUUAAAUUUCAGUCCAUAUUUUUACUCCAUCCAUAAAAACAGUCAUAGAAGGUAAGAUUGCCGCUUAAUACGGCAUACGACAGUAAGAUCAUAUAAACACCAACAAGUAACCUUUGACACCAGAAAGAUCCUGAACUACCAUUUUUCAAGACAUGAAAGUGUAUAGACUUGGACCACCCUAAACUAUUAACUGAAGCAUAUCAAGCAGCAACAUUGAGCCUCUUCAGUUGACAGAGACCUACAACAAUUCAGCAAUAUUCUACUCUUAAGUCUAAACCAGAGCUGACACCAUAUUCAAUCAAAAGAAGUAAAAACAUGAUAAAAAAAAAAGAAUGUUACCAUCACCACGACUGUUUGUUCUAGCCAACUGGAAAAUAGUGUAGCCAGAAGUGCCAAGCUGGUCGUGGUACAUGUUGACUAAUUCCUCAUUCCCAACCCAAACUUCCUAUGAACAGUCACAGUUGCCAAGAGUCAUAUACAAAAAGUCAAUUACUACUUUCUAAGAAUAAAUUUUUCACAAAAGAAAAUUCUAAUUACCUGGAGACAGAUAACUGAAGAGCGUUGAUGGAUUAGCAAAUCUAGAAUCCUCUGGUUACGAGCUAACCAAAGCGAGCGAGAAUCGCUCUCUCGAAUGCUAUGAUUCUGCAAUAACACCCAACACAAUCAAACCAAUGUCGUCGAUUCCAGAAUCAACAGGUAAAGAGUGAAAUCAGAAGAAACCUUUUGAUCAACGCGUUUAUAAAUCGGAGCCAAGAUAUUGAAAGUGGUACAAGAAAUAUUCGAUUCCACCAUUGAAGAAGCUAAGUUGGAGUUGAGUCUCUGCACAAACAAACACAAUCGGCGAAUCAAAUCUCAGAACAAUUAGAAAGAAGAAAAACAAUCACAUGGAGGAAGAGCGACGAACCAUAACUGAAAGCGGCUUGUUGUUUCUGCCGGAGAGUAGACCGGAAAAGUAGAUCGGAAAAGGAACGGCAGCGAGGACGACGAAGAGGGAGAGUGGUGAAGAGAAGGAAGGGAUGAAUCUAGACCGUAGAAUUAAGCUCAGCCUGCUUCGAUUCUGAUGGCUUUGCAUUUGAGUUUUUUUUUUUUUUUGAGGCUUUCUUUCGAAUUCUCAAAAGAUCUUUUUCUGAUUUUAUAAAUUUCCUUCGGAUUUAUAUCCGUCUCUUUUUUUAUAUAUAUUUGGCAGUACUUGAUUCUUUUAUUUUAUUCAUUAAUUUAAAAUUUUAUGAACCGUUUGUUUUAGUAAAUAUCUAUUUUCUUCAUAACUUCACUGAAUUAAAAGACUACAUAUGUAACAACACAAGGUCUUCUUCUCUCUUAGCAAACAAAACAUUCAUUCUCAGGUCCAUGUAAUUUCUUUUACAAUGACUAUGUAAUUUCUUUUACAAUGACUAUGUAAAAAGAAAUCUUAUAAAACUAGUCUAUUGACCAAUUGAAGAAGUUUCUUUAGUGUAAUGGUAGAUUUUAGUAUUGGCCAUUCAUGGAAGUUUACAAUGAUUAUAACGUAUAAAAUCAUACUUCAAUUUGUCGACCAUUUUUAUAGAUUUAUGAGAAAAGGUAAGUAAAUAAAGAAACUGCAAGGAAGAUUGCAGGAGGAGAAGCGCGUCUGUGGCUGGGCUAUGUCGGUGCUCAUCACACGGUCGUGUACCACACCGAUUAUGUAUUGUCCUUUUACAGCAAUUUUUUAUGUCAUGCCUUCAAAAUAUCAAAUUGCUUAACCACGUUGUAUUUUAUUUAUUUAUUAAUUUUUUUGCUUCUUUAUUAAAUGUCAACGCAUAAACAAAUGCUACUAAGAAUCUUAAAAUUUUAUACCUUUUUUUUUUCUCUUUUAAUUUGUUCACUUGUUAAUAACCAAUCUUUAUCUAUUCAUCGGCAUACGAUAUUUUAAAAUUGUGAUCACUUCCCAAAUUUUCAAUCAAUUUCCCCAAAUAAAAGAAUUUGUUGCAUGAAUGGUUUAUUUAGUUUCAGAAUAAUCGAGUCUCUUUAUUUGCGAAAUUCGAAAUCUCGCAAUGUAUAGGUUCCCGCAUUUGCUUCUUUUCCAAAAAAAAUCUGUGCAGCAGAAACUUCUUCACCCAUUCCAAAUGCAAGUAAAGAAAAUCAUUUGUUUCUUACCUCUUCGAUUCCUAGCUACUCUUUCGAUACAUUCUUUCUAUUUCUUUGUUCUCCCUUUCCUCUCUUUUUUGAAUUAUUUUAUUAGUGAAAACUUUUAUGAGAACUUUUUGAUAAAGGUAUUCUAAGUCCGGUUUGUUUUCGAGGUAUUCAAAUUUAAUACUUAAAUUUUAUUUUUCAAACAAAAAUAUUUUGUAAAAUCAAAACUUUUAGUUAAGAAUCAAAAUUUUUUUACUUAAAACUUUACUUUAUUUUAAAAUUUGGAAAAAAAUAAAGAGAAUGAAAGCUCGAAAGGGACUCGAAAAAGAGGCAUAAAACCAUUUCUAAACCAUUUACUUAAAAAUGUAAGUUUAAUCAAAAUUAAAAAUAUUUUUGUUUUUAAGUAAAAUAAAUAAAUUAAAUGUUAAAUUUAUAUUAUGUAUAAACAAGUUGAAUCUAGAAUACCUCUUAAAGACCAAAUAAUAUGGAUGGGAUGUUGUGUCUGGUAGGUUCUCACAAAUUUUAAAUUUAUCCCUUAAAGAAGAAAUUUAAAUAAAAAUAUUAUGUAUACUUAAAAAAAUAAAACAGUUUAUCUAAAAUAUUAUUUUAAAAAACGAAAAAACUUGAAAGUUUAAAUAGUGAUUCAUAAAGCGUUUAAAUUAAAACUCAAAAUUAAAAAAACGUGUUUAAAUACGUAUAAAACAUCUAAUUAUGUAUAACUUAAAGAAAUUUAUUAAAAUAUUAUUUGUAAAAAUUUUAAAAUGUAAAUUUAAUCAAAAUUUAAAAACAGAAAUUAAUUUUUAAAUUUAUAUUAUGUGUAAACAUGUUUAACUUUAGAACACCUCUUAGGGUUUGAAUGUUGCGUCCAAUUAGUUUACACAAAAUUUAAAAGCUUAACAAUUAUAUAAAAAAAACAGUUUAUCCAAAAUAUUAUUUGAAAAUAAAAAAAACAUUAAAGUUUUGAUAGUAAUAUAAAAAUUAUGAAUUUAAUAACACUUUUUUAAUAAAAUAACAAGUGUUAAAAAUUUAAUUAUGUGUAAACCAUGUUGAACCUAGAAUACCUCUUAGGGGUUUAGAUAUUGUAUUCAAUUAGUUUACACCAAAUUUAAAAUUUAACACUUAUAAGAAAAAUAUUUAUCCAAAAUAUUAAAUUUUUAAUAGUAAUAUAAAAAAUAUAACAUUAAAAACGUUUUUUAAUAAAAAACAGGUGUUAAAAUUUAAUUAUGCGUAAACCAUAUUGAACCUAGAACACCUUUUAGGGGUUUAGAUGUUGUAUCCAAUUAGACACAAAAUUAAAAAAUUUAACACUUAUUAAAAAAAAAACAUUUAAAAAAAAACAAGUGUUAAAAAUUUAAUUAUGUGCAAACUAUAUUGAACCUAGAACACAUCUUAGGGGUUUGGAUGUUGUAUCCAAUUAGUUUACAUAAAAUUUAAAAUUUAACACUUAUCAAAAAAAAAAAAAAAAAAACAUUUUUUAGAAAAUAAAUAUUAAAAAUUUAAUUAUGUGUAAACCAUAUUGAACCUAGAACACCUCUUAGAGGUUUGUAUGAUGUAUCCAAUUAGUUUACACAAAAUUAAAAAAUUUAACACUUAUAAAAAAAAACAAAACAUUUUAAAAACAAGUGUUAAAUUUUUUAAUAAUGUGUAAACCAUAUUGAACCUAGAACACCUCUUAGGGGUUUUGAUGAUGUAUCCAAUUAGUUUACACAAAAUUAAAAAAUUUAACACUUAUAAAAAAAAAACAUUUAAAAAAAAAACAAUUGUUAAAUUUUUUAAUAAUGUGUAAACCAUAUUGAAUCUAGAAUACUUCUUAGAGGUUUGGAUGAUGUAUCCAAUUAGUUUACACAAAAUUAAAAAAAAUUAACACUUAUUAAAAAAAAACAUUUAAAAAAAACGAUUGUUAAAUUUUUUAAUAAUGUGUAAACCAUAUCGAACCUAAAACACCUCUUAGGAAUUUGGAUGUUGUAUCCAAUUAGUUUACACAAAAUUAAAAAAUUUAACAAUUAUAAAAAAAACAAAACAUAGAAAAAAAAAACAAGUGUUAAAUUUUUUAAUAAUGUGUAAACCAUAUUGAACCUAGAACACCUCUUAGGAGUUUGGAUGAUGUAUCCAAUUAGUUUACACAAAAUUAAAAAAUUUAACACUUAUAAAAAAAACAAAAAAAAACAAAAGAAACAUUAAAAAAAAACAAGUGUUAAAAAUUUAAUUAUGUGUAAACCAUAUUGAACCUAGAACACCUCUUAGGGGUUUGGAUGAUGUAUCCAAUUAGUUUACACAAAAUUAAAAAAUUUAACACUUAUAAAAAAAACAAAAGAAACAUUAAAAAGAAAAAAUAAGUGUUAAAAAUUUAAUUAUGUGUAAACCAUAUUGAACCUAGAACACUUUUUAGGGGUUUGGAUGAUGUAUCCAAUUAGUUUACACAAAAUUAAAAAAUUUAACACUUAUCAAAAAAACAAAAAAAAACAAAACAAAACAUUUAAAAGAAAAAAUAAGUGUUAAAAAUUUAAUUAUGUGUAAACCAUAUUGAACCUAGAACACCUCUUAGGGGUUUGGAUGAUGUAUCCAAUUAGUUUACACAAAAUUAAAAAAUUUAACACUUAUCAAAAAAACAAAAAAAAACAAAACAAAACAUUUAAAAGAAAAAAUAAGUGUUAAAAAUUUAAUUAUGUGUAAACCAUAUUGAACCUAGAACACCUCUUAGGGGUUUGGAUGAUGUAUCCAAUUAGUUUACACAAAAUUAAAAAAUUUAACACUUAUCAAAAAAACAAAAAAAAAACAAAACAAAACAUUUAAAAGAAAAAAUAAGUGUUAAAAAUUUAAUUAUGUGUAAACCAUAUUGAACCUAGAACACCUCUUAGGGGUUUGGAUGAUGUAUCCAAUUAGUUUACACAAAAAUAAAAAAUUUAACACUUAUCAAAAAAAACAAAAAAAAACAAAACAAAACAUUUAAAAGAAAAAAUAAGUGUUAAAAAUUUAAUUAUGUGUAAAUCAUAUUGAACCUAGAACACCUCUUAGGGGUUUGGAUGAUGUAUCCAAUUAGUUUACACAAAAUUAAAAAAUUUAACACUUAUAAAAAAAAAAAAAAAAAAAACACAACAUUAUAAAAAAAAAAACUAAAUCAAUACCUAGUUCGAUUCAUAGAAGAAAUAACUUACAGGGAAUAAGUGCUGAUGAUAGUGUUUGUCCACAAAUCUAGUAGGCGAUAACUUCCAAUAGGAAGAAAUUGAACAAAACGACGAAAGGAGUCAAUAUUGGUUGAGAGGGAUAAAUAAUAAACUUAGAAAGAGAAGAAAAUAAAGAAAAGCAGAGAGGAUUUUGGAGAUUACUUACAGGUCAAGAAAGAGAGGAUGAUGAGAUUGGUGCUAUUGUUGAGUCAUAACUGCAUCAACCCUAAUUGAAGCAGACAAGGAGGACUGUGAUUGUGAACAAAGAUUGGGCCUUCUUCUCACCGGCGAUAGGGUUUGUGGAGAUUAUGAUCGACGCAUGCUGCGGCCUCUCAUCCACCGCCACGGCAAGUAUCGUCGAGAUCAAUCGACUAAAAGUAAAAAUUGGCGGAGACGAACAAAUUCGUACGGAUGAUUGAAGAUUCACACGAAAAUAGUUGCGAUUCAAAGCUUUAGAAGAACACGAAAAGAUAUAAUGCUUUGCUUUAGAACUUUCUCUCGAGAUACAAUUUUGAUUUCUCUCGAAGAAGUAAGAAGAGAUUACGACUAUAUUUAUAAGCAGUGAGAUUAUUAGGUCGUUUGGGAAAAACAAAAAGGAAAUCUCUUUUAUACACACAUGUUAAAUUAAAAAAUGGAAAAUCACUCAGAUCAAUAAAAAUGGAAAUUUCUUUUAUACAUGUUAGUAUGUUACCAAAAAGAAAAGCAAAUUGUUACGUUUUUGUUACGACGUCGUUUAAGAGUAAUGACGUCAUCUAUUUCGUUUACGAGAUUUGAGGGUUUCUUACCAAUUUUGCUAUGCAUUAGCUUCAUUGCUAAAUCUGCUUUUCCCACUUUCCUCAAUGCAUUGAUCAUCACUGUUCUGAUCCUCCAUGGCACUUCUCUUCCUCUCUCUGUAAUUUACAGAGUGUUUUAAUCCGUCCGCUAAAGACUUCUUCGAUUCAAAGAGAACAAGCGCUAUGUAACCAUUUCAUUGAAUCCAGAAAACAUAGCAAUCUUUUCUUUCAACAAGUCUCCAUAAAUUACAGACAAAGAUAAACCCGGAAACAAGAAAAUGUUGCAGAUGAAAUCUAAAAAAAAAGAACAAUAGAAAACCUCUUCUUCUCCUUCUAAUUUGGUCACAACAAAACCUCUUCUUCAUAGCCUCUUAAAGUGGCUUUCCACUUGUCUUGAUAUCAUUUCUGAUUGCUCCUUGAAUCAUCUUAACGAUCAAAUACUGAAAAGUAGAAGAAAGUAUUUCACUUGUUUACCAAAUUCGAACAAGACAAUAAAAAUCAAUUGUGUCUCUUUCUUACCUGAACACCGAUGAUAAGAGGGAUGAGUUUCUUUCCUUUAUCAUCAGAGUAAGAUCCAUCUACCAUCUUCUUGUCUACAUGAAUUGCUUUUCUCUGGUUUGUUGCUACAUCAGUUAUCGCCUUAACCAAGUUCGGGAUCCAUGCUUCACCAUUCGGAAGAGCCUAAACCAAGAGCAGGUAAGCAACUUUUAACAGUCUCUCUCCAAGUCGGAUCAAAUCAGAGAUUCGAAAACACAAACCUUUUCGUCCUUAUCGUUCUUGCUGCAUCUUCCGCUGUUCUCUGCAUAGACUACCGCGAUUGCAGAAUCCUACAAGCCAGUAGAAGAAUGAAACUGAUUCUUGCUACAAUGAACCAAACAUUGGUAAAACUAUUUUAAGAGACUUAGGUAUAUCUAUAAAUAAUCAUACCUCAAACUCUUGUUUUCGCAUUUUAGAACCAGCACGGAUAGUUUUGAGAAGAGAAUCUGAUCUCUUGGAGGAAAAAGUUUCGUAAGAAAGUUCAUCAGGAGGGGAAAACUGAGCAUGAGUCAGAACAAGCAAGGUUUUGAACCAUAUCUCUUUUCCAAAGGUUUGGGUGAUUGCCUUAACAACUUGCUUAUCUAGCUCAUCGACUCUAUACACGUCCAAACGAUCAACAUAGAGCAAGACAUCUAUGGUUUUGUUCACAAGAAACCUGCCCAAAAUCCGAGAAACACAACAACUAUCGUAAAAACCUCCACACACACACUCAAAUAUACAACUUCAGCCUAAACCGGGAUAGGCAUAACUAAAUUUUUUAACAAAAACCCACAAGUAAACAUUUUAUCACAUAUUUACUUCAGCCUAUAUGCAACAAGCAGAUCUAAUCACAUCAAUGAAGAGCUUGUGAAACAAAAUGUCAUCUACGACAAUGAACGAAGACAGAUUGGAAAAGAGUAGCUACAGACCCUUUGAUUAACUCGAGGGCUUGGUGAUUGACAUAUCCAGCUUCCACAAGUCCAGGGGUGUCAAUAAUGUUGAUAGUGAACCCUCCCAUUGUUCUUGAAACCAUCACUGGUCUCAAUCCUUCAGCCUACAAAAUCAACAAAACAGAACCAUCAAUAUCUUGACAUGACUAAACUUUCUUAAUCCAAAUUAAAAAAAUCAAUUCCAAGUUUAGAGAAACUAAAUUACGUACCUGGAAAGGACUGACACGGACGACUUGUUCACCGAUAAGAGAAUUGACAGUGGAUGAUUUUCCAACACCGCCUUUCCCAAGAACAAGAACUGUCAUUGAGUUCAUAUCCUGCAAUUACAAAAAAAAAAAACCCAUCAUUAUCUCCUAAUCACAACGGAGAAUCCGAGAAACCCACUUAACCACCAAAGAAACAACAACAACAACAACAAAACCUUUUGUUUCAAUUUGCCGAAGAAUUCAAUCAGCUUUUCUUGGGUAGCUGCUGGAAAUUGCUGAAACCCAACCCAUUCACGAACGAGAGACCCCAUCACUCCAAAACCCUUCAACCAAAAUUUAUGAGUUUUCUUUUGGUAUAUAAUCACUAAACACCUAGUGAUGACGAUGAUUAUAAUAAACUUCGAAAGCGAUAACGUUUUGGGAGAUUUGGAGGAGCUUACCGUUGUUGUGAGCUUUCGAGGUUUUUGGAAGAAGCUCUCUCAAUGCGUUCCGGAGAGAAAAGCUAAAGCGUGUGACCUUAUCGCAACUUUGUUUAAUAGUUAUAAUUAUUUUCACUUUUACUCCUCUAUUUCUUCAAUGUUUCUUUUUAGUGCCCUUAAAUUUUGAAAACUAACACUCAACCCCAAACCGAAUCCAGUUACUAAUUUGGAUUACACUUCAUAUUUCCAUGGAAGAGUACAUUAGGUGGAACAUUGGAUUAGCAUAGCGUCAAGGCUCAAGCGAUUCUCUGAACCUUUCUUCGCUUGUACGUCAAGGAAUACAAAUUGUCAGUAUUGGCUUCUCGAGCAUGAUUGUCUUCGCUAAGGACACGCAGCGGUUUUCUCAGGACCUUGGCUUCCCUCUGAAAGUUAUUACCAGACAAAAUCCUCUUGCUCUCUGCUGUUUCAGAGCCUCUGUCAACAGUCCUCGGCUCAAAACCAGGAGAGUUCAGGUGGUAGUGGACAUAUUCUUCUUGCUUUAGAGGCAGAUUAUGAUGUUCUGUGCUGGAGUAAUUUGAAACACCAAGAGCUCUGGGUAUAGUGUGUGUUGGAUCAUGAAACACCGGUUCUGUACCUUCGGUUGAUCUUUGUGUAGUUUCCAAAUAGGUUAAGAAAGGGUCUUGGUGAUUCAGUAAGCAUUUUGGGAGUUCUGAGAUAGAACAGCCAAUAGUUCCGUAGGGUGGUUUCUCAAAUCUCGUACCUAAGUAUGGAGACGCUGCAAAUCUAGUACUCUUUGAACCGGUUUCAUGGAUUUGCUGGAGAUUGUUUCCUGGAGCUACAUAGGGUUCCCUGAGAAUGGCAGAAGAAGAUUUAGGGACUAAUUUGAGAAGACCCUUUGGCAAAGUCUGAUGAUGAUAGCCAGCAGAAACUAAGCUGGAACGUUGGUACCCGAAUACUCCUCCCUUGGUUAUCUUUAUCUUGAGACCGUUCUUGGAGCUACCACUGCGAGGGAAGGUUAAACUUUUCGUUCUAUUUCUUUCCACAGGUUUCACUACAUUGGGAGUUUUGAAUCUACAUGUAGCACUAUCCAUUUCCUCAGAUGGAACUCUAUUAAGGCCCAGUCGCUUCAGAUUACCGGUUUGAGUUCGUCCUGACCAAAGGAGGAGUCUUGAGUAAUUGCCGAAUUUUUUUCCAUACUGAAUCCACAACCUUUGCAUCUCGGUGAAUGUCUUGAUCAGCUUUUCAUGAUAGAACUUUAAAGAGUAGUAAUACUUUCUCCUCUUGACAAACAUAACACCUUGUUUGAAACAAGCUACCUUUGGAGUAAACAAUCCUCCUCUCAAAUUCUUGUAAAACUUAACCACUGGAUUCCCAAAAUAUAAAUUGGCACCACCGAGAAGUUCCUGCAUUGUCAGAAUAAAAGUCUGUUGAUCCAUAUCUGGCAGAAAACAUGAGAGGAAGAAUCUUUCUUCGUCUGUAAGAACUGAGUUCCAAGUCUCAACAGACAAUAUCCCCGUGAAAUCUGGUAGAUCAUAGAGCUCGUAUGGUAUGUUACAGAGCUGACCUUCUACCAUAGCUAGCUCACAGUUCGCUUCCGCAAUGUCGCAAUCAUCAGAUUCAUCUUCUGAGUCUACCCCAACUAUUUUAUUCUUAGUCAUCUCUCCACCUAUAGUAUUGAAAUGAUGACCACUUACUACCCUUGCAGCCAAAAAUACUUCAAAUCUCAGUACAAAGGACCAUAAGCAGGAGACCUAGAAAGAAAACGUUAAAGAGACUCAUCAUCAGCAAUUUGCAAUUCCAGAAUUCCACUACAAGUUGUUGCAAUGAAACGAACAUAAAUAGCAUUUUACUCACUGAUUUCUGCAACAACACUAUAAAACACUAUGAAGCACUCAAAAGAAGAAAUCGUAGAGCCAAUGAAAGACACAAAACCCCAGAAAAUCUCCCAGAUCGGAUCAGAUACAAAGCUUAAAGACAAUCGAUCUCGGAUUCAAUCAAUAACCAAAACCCAAACCUCAAACCCUUGGAUUUGACAGCAAAAAUGUGCAGAAAUUUGAAUAAAUCAAAACAAGUAUCAUACGAAUAUCAGCACAAAUCGGCUCCGAUGAGUGUAAAAAACCUACCGGAACAAAUCAAAAUUGAAGAAUCUGGCGAUAUACAGAAAAAUCGAUCGGAAAGCGUAAAAGACGAGGAGCUUACCGGCUCUAAAGACAGAUGAAAUUAGCAAAUUUAGGGUUGCAGGAAGUAUAUCCGCUUUGCUGCGGAUACGAACUUCAUCAUCGUCUUCAAAGAUUCUCUGCUUCCUUUAGAGAGAUUUCUAUGGCUUUUUCGAAGCUUGAAUGCCACAGUGUAGAGGCUAAUUACUGUUACACUUGUAAUUUGACUUUUUUAAUUAAAGCCGCCUAAAGUAACCAAUCGUUUAAUUACUUUAAUUAAUUAUUUUAAAUUGUGCUUAAUAAUUAAGUUAGACAUUAAUUACUUCACAAAUAGUUUGGGCCUGGAACCCAAAACCAGAAACUCAUAGGCCCAUUUAAACUUAAUAAAGGAAAUCACCUUGGUCUUUAACCCCAUUCCUAUGAUUAAUUAGUCAUUUUAAAUUAUGAUUAAGCAAGUUAGACAUUACUUGAUAUUUUAGUUAGUAUGAUAAUCAACGGACAGGAUCCUUGAUGUAAAAUCAUCUGUCACUUUCAGAUUUUCUAAAAGAUAAGCCUUUCUCUUGCUCUCUCUCUCUUACUAGAAAAGACAAAUUCUACCGUUUCAAAAGUCUUGAGCAAAUCAUUGUUUUUUGAUUCUUGAAUUCUUUGAGGGAACGAGAAAACUGUACAAGAGAGAUUCAUGGCUGAUAGUUGUUGUAUCAGACUUCUUCACUUAGCCUUUGUUUUCUUGCUUUUAAUUUCAUCCUUCAUCUUGCAGGUACCUUAAACUUCGUACUCUCUGUGUUCAAAUUGCUUUCAAAGAUCGAUACUUAUGGAUGCUGGUGCUUGUUUCGAAUUUUUCCUUAUUGUGGGAAUGAUUAUUUGUUGGACUCUUGAGCUACAAGUUAAAAAAAAAAUUCCAAACUUUGUGAAUUUUUCGAUUUUUCUGUAAGUUUUAACUUUUGAAGCUGGUUUGUCUCUUAAUCUCAGGGUACUGCAGCAGGAAAUCUUUCCAAGCAGAAACUGACCUCAUUGAUUCUUCAGGUUUUGAUCUUAGUCCACCCAAUUUUCUGUAUUGUUUUCGUCUCUUUUAGAUUGCCUAAACGUUGAUGAUCGACUUUUGCAGAAUGAGAUUGUAAAGGAAGUCAAUGAGAAUCCAAACGCUGGAUGGAAAGCUUCUUUGAAUGAUCGGUUUGCAAACGCCACCGUGAGUUUAUUAUCACCUCCAUGACCUUAUCUCUUAAGAGCUACAUACUUAUCAUUGUUCCUGAAAACUUGUGUUUUUGUGUAGGUUGCAGAGUUUAAGCGUCUUCUUGGUGUUAAACCAACACCAAAGACGGCAUACCUAGGUGUACCUAUUGUAAGACAUGAUUUAUCUUUGAAGCUUCCAAAAGAAUUUGAUGCUAGAACAGCUUGGUCACAGUGCACAAGUAUUCCAAGGAUCUUAGGUCGGUUAUAAUCUCUUAGCUCCCACUCUCUGUCUUUUAUCUAAUGAUUUACUGACUCUUCUUAUGUUUUAUGUCAAAUACUCUCCCCGUUUAUCGCACUAAAGAUCAGGUAAAACAUCAUUUGAGUGGGUUUUAUAUUGAACAAUGUGUUACUCAGGUCGAUGAUAAAAUUAUGGUUUUGGUUUGUUUAGGGUCAUUGUGGUUCUUGCUGGGCAUUUGGUGCUGUUGAAUCACUCUCCGACAGGUUUUGCAUCAAAUAUAACUUGGUAACACAAAUUUCUCCAUCAAGCCAAGAUUGAUGAUUGCUAUCGCUUUUCUCUUCGAAGAUUAAUGUAACUGUUUUUGUUCCCUUGCAGAAUGUUUCUUUAUCUGCCAAUGAUGUUGUAGCAUGUUGUGGAUUACUUUGCGGUCUAGGUUGUAAUGGUGGAUUCCCAAUGGGUGCAUGGCUGUACUUUAAGUACCACGGGGUAGUAACCGAAGAGGUAAAUUCUCAUUAUAACUGCAAAGAACAUAUAAUAAUGUCAAAGUGUUCAAAAUGUAUUGAACUUUUGCAAUGUUGUUGGUUCUUCAGUGUGAUCCAUACUUUGACAAUACUGGUUGCUCUCACCCGGGAUGUGAACCCGGUUACCCUACCCCAAAAUGUGUGAGGAAAUGUGUUAGCGAAAACCAGCUAUGGGGUGAAUCAAAACACUAUGGCGUCAGCGCAUACAGAAUCAAUCAUGACCCUCAAGACAUUAUGGCAGAGGUUUACAAGAACGGACCUGUCGAGGUUGCUUUUACCGUUUACGAGGUAAAUAAAAGGUUUUAGAUUCAUUAAACAUAUCAUGGAACUCCACAUCUUCAUGUAUCCUUUUUUUCUACAGGACUUUGCACAUUACAAAUCAGGAGUGUACAAGCACAUAACGGGUACUAAGAUUGGAGGUCAUGCUGUUAAGCUCAUUGGCUGGGGAACUUCUGAUGACGGCGAAGAUUAUUGGGUAUGAAUCUACUUUUAACACUCUGGAUUUUGAGUUUAGAUCUAGCUGGAAAAUUAAUUAAAAAUUUGUUCUUUUGAAUGGUUGCAGUUGCUUGCAAAUCAAUGGAACCGAAGCUGGGGUGAUGUAAGUUGUUCUUCUCUCCGAUCAAACUUUUAAAUUUGACCUUCCAAGUAAACGAAACACAGAACCUGAGAUAUGAAUUGUGAAAAUUUCAGGAUGGUUACUUCAAGAUCAGGAGAGGAACGAACGAAUGUGGCAUUGAACACGGUGUUGUAGCCGGUUUACCUUCAGACAGGAACGUAUUUAAAGAUGUAACCACUUCAGAUGAUCUUCUGGUUUCCUCAUUUUAAACAAGAAGAUGUGUCUCUACUUCUUCUGUGAUACUAUAUACAACUGUUAAUAAAUUAGUUACCGAACUAAUGCAAUGAAUAAAUAAACAAUCAACAUGUUACAAAAAUACUUAUGACAUCAGAGAUGCAAAUUCCCCAAAUAAAAAGAAUAAAGGAAGGAAGUGUGAUUAGCAAUAGCAUGCAAGAGGACUGUUACAGUAUUUAUCGCCUAAAGUAAUCCCUUAAUUACUUUAAAUCAUUCGAAAUAAUGAUUAAUAAAUCAAGUAAGUAGAACAAAUCGAACGGUCAGGAUCUUCUAGCGAUCUGUCAUUCUCUAAAAGUCAAAAGAUAAGCCUCUUUAAUCUCUCUCUUUCUUAUUCCGUAUUAGAAAAGAAAACUUCCAUUAGAGAGAGAGAUACCUUGUCCAAACUCUCUGGCAAAUCAUUUGUUUGGUUUUUGGAGUUCGUUUAAGGGAUUGAGAAAAUAUCAACAGAAGAGAAAGAUUCAUGGCUGAUAAAUGUAUCAAACUUCACUUAGCCUCUGUUUUCUUCUUUUUAGGGCUUCUAAUUUCAUCCUUCAACUUGCAGGUACUUGAACCUUCAUAAUCUCUGUCUUCUUUUUACUUUUUCUGGGUUUGAUCAUUUUUGCUUAUUUGUUGGACUCUUUAAGCUACAAGUUUUAAACUUUUGAAGCUGGUUUGUCCCUUGAUCUCAGGGUAUUGCAGCAGAAAAUCUUUCCAAGCAGAAACUGACCUCAUGGAUUCUUCAGGUUUUUGAUCUUAAUCCACCCAAUUUUCUGUAUUGUUUUCGUCUCUUUUAGAUUGCCUUAUCGUUGAUGAUCGACUUUUGUAGAAUGAGAUCGUCAAGGAAGUCAAUGAGAAUCCAAACGCUGGAUGGAAAGCUGCUUUCAAUGAUCGGUUUGCAAACGCCACUGUGAGUUUCUUAUUAUUACCAAUUAAGAGCUACAGAGAUCUUAUCAAUGCUUAUCAAUGUUUCUGAAAAGUUUGUGUUUUUGUGUAUUAGGUUGCAGAGUUUAAGCGCCUCCUUGGUGUUAAACCAACACCAAAGACGGAAUUUUUGGGUGUACCUAUUGUGAGUCAUGAUAUAUCUUUGAAGCUUCCUAAAGAAUUUGAUGCUAGAACCGCUUGGUCACAGUGCACCAGUGUUGGAAGGAUCUUAGGUCUGUUUUCAUUUUUUUAGAUUUCCACUAUCUCUGUCUUUUAUCCAAAUUAUUUACUGACUCUUUUUAUGUUUUGUGUCAAAUUCUCUCCUCAAUUGUCUCACUAAAGAUCAGGUAAACACAUCAUUUGCUUGAGUUUUAUAUUGAACAGUGUGUUACUCAAGUGAUGAUAACAUUAUGGUUUUGGUUUGUUUAGGGUCAUUGUGGUUCUUGCUGGGCCUUUGGUGCUGUUGAAUCACUGUCUGACAGAUUCUGCAUCAAAUAUAACAUGGUAACACAGAUUUCUUAAUGAAGCCAAGAUUGAUGAUGUGUAGCGUCUUUCUUAUGGAAUGAUUAAUAUUAGUUUCUUUUGUUCCCAUGCAGAAUAUUUCUUUAUCUGUCAAUGAUCUCUUAGCAUGUUGUGGAUUCCUUUGCGGACAAGGUUGUAACGGUGGAUACCCAAUUGCUGCGUGGCGGUACUUUAAGCACCACGGUGUAGUAACUGAAGAGGUAAAUUCUCUUUUUACUGCAAUGAACAUAUAUUAAUGGCAAAGUAGUUAAAACGUAUUGAACUUUUGCAAUUUUCUUGGUUCUUCAGUGUGAUCCAUACUUUGACAAUACUGGCUGCUCUCACCCGGGAUGUGAACCCGCUUACCCUACACCAAAAUGUGCGAGGAAAUGUGUUAGCGGAAACCAGCUUUGGCGUGAAUCAAAACAUUAUGGUGUUAGCGCGUACAAGGUCAGAUCUCACCCUGAUGACAUUAUGGCAGAAGUUUACAAAAAUGGACCUGUUGAGGUUGCCUUUACUGUUUACGAGGUAAAUACUAGGUUUUAGAGUGAUCAAAGAUAUGAUUAUAUCAUGGAACUCCACAUUUUCAUGUAUCUUUUUGUUCUACAGGACUUUGCACAUUACAAGUCAGGAGUGUACAAGCACAUAACAGGUACUAACAUUGGAGGUCAUGCUGUUAAACUUAUUGGCUGGGGAACUUCUGAUGACGGUGAAGAUUAUUGGGUAUGAAUCCACUUUUGACGCUCUGGAUUUUGAGUUUAUUAGAUCUAGCCUAAAAAUUCACAACAUUUUCUGUUCUUUGAAUUGUUACAGUUGCUUGCAAAUCAAUGGAACCGAAGCUGGGGAGAUGUAAGUUCUUCUUCCUCCAAUCAAACUUUUAACUAUAACCUUCCAAGUGGCAACAUUAGAAUUCCAGAGAAACACACAGAACCUGAGAUAUAUAAUCUGAAAAUUUCAGGAUGGUUACUUCAAGAUCAGGAGAGGAACAAACGAAUGUGGCAUUGAACAUGGUGUUGUAGCUGGUUUACCUUCAGACAGGAACGUAUUUAAAGGUAUUACUACUUCAGAUGAUCUUCUUGUUUCCUCAUUUUAAACAGGAAGAUGUGUCUCUACUUCUUCUGUAAUACAUAAUUUGCCAGUGUGUUGUUGUUACCAAUGAAAUAAUUAAACGACUUUCGACCCAAAAAGAAGUCUAUUGUACAUAGCAUUUAGCUUUUUUUUUAUAUCCAAUAUAAUGUGUUGUUGUUUCCAUUGAAAGAAUCAAAAGACAUUCAACUAUUCUAUAUACUAGCAUUUAGCUUCUGUUCAUAUUCUAUUUUAUAUGUUUCCUUUUUUAUACAUUCUAGUUUCUACUGUGUUGUAUCUAUACUGUUUCAUUCUGCACUAUGUGUGACCAAUGGUGGAUACUUGAGGUUUCUCAGUUUACUAGAUUGCUCGGCGAUAAGCUGAGCAGUAGUAUUAGGACCUGCUUGCAUAAAAACCUCGUAGCCAUCACCUAACAGACCAGUUCUAUUGGUUGUAAGCUGCCAGAAAACUCCACCAGUACACGAACCACCGGUUCUUGCACUGUCGUAGAUGACAUCAUAAACUCUCUUGAAAAACUUGUUCCGUUUCUCUAAGCUGAAACCAGGAUACUUUGAAGAUUUCCCAAACUCUGUUAUCAGUAAAGGCUUCAUGAUGAUAUUGUUACAGUCUUCGAUAUGUGAUCCGAUCCAUCUGUCCACAAAUGUAUCUUGUUCUCCUGUUCUUGAGCUCUGUAAUGGUAGCCUGAUCUUGAUUUGAUACAGAGAGAAAAUGUGUUAAUAUGACAACAAACCAGAAAACACCAAUUUUGAUCCAUUGAAUAGAGAGACUGAUGACUUACCAAGAAUCCGGGUAGAUAUGGAUAGUGGCGAAAUCGAUAUCGGGAAUUUGGUUAUUGGAAAUGAAAUCUGUACCGGUUAAGACCCUCCCGCCGGGAUUGUAAACCGUUCUUUCCGGUAUAGAAUCUCCGUAAAACCCUUCAAGCCCUAUUUCCAGUAGAUGGAUUGAGUCUAUGGACUUAACAUAACUAGCCAUUUCCUUCACCCAAUUCUGCACACAAAACGACACCGUUUAAGUAUGUAUACGUGUACAUGUAACAUGCAGGCCCGGCUCACUCAUCGGCAAGACCCGGUGCCAUACAAAAAAAAAAAUUCUAUCUUUAAUAAAAAAAUUUGGAUAUAUUUCAUAAACUAUUUUGUAUUUUAUAGCUAUUUGGACCUAUUGUUUUUGUUUAUUAAUUUUGGGCUUCAAUAUUACCUUUUAAAAUAGAAUUUUGGGACCUUUACAUAUAGAUAUUUUAUAAAAUUUAAGCAUAAUUAAAUAGUUAAAUAAUAAAAAAACUAUUAAUUUGGACCUUAAAUUUGUUGGACCCAGUGCAAAUGCACCAGUUGCACGUGCAUAUAACCGGCCCUGGUAACAUGUUGCAUAAUAUUCACUUAUUCAGAGAGAGAAGAGAAAUAACCUGUAGAAUAUUCGAACCAGUGACAUUGCAGCGAGGCUCAUUGAUGAGUUCCCAUGAGAAGAUGGUCGGGUCGUCUUUGUACAUUCGACCAGUGAUUGUGUUUUUCCUCGUCAACACGGUCUGUUUCAUGGUUUUGUCAAACCGCCGGUUUAGUUUGAUUUUUAAGUCGGUACAAAUAUACAAAAUUCUAAAUAUGAUCUAAUCUUUGCAAAAAGAUAUUUAAUUUAAGGGACAUUCGUCAAUAAUAAGUUAAUAAACAUUUUUGGAUUGGUACAUUUUGUCGUACUUUGUUCAUAUUUUUAAUUGAUUAAAACCUAACUUUUGACAUUUCAAAACCGUCGGUUAUCUCGCGUUAACGUGUACAAAUAUAAUCUGAAUAUUUUUGCCAGUAACGUGUCGUGUUACAUAUGAUGAUGACCUCGAUAUCUUUUAACUGAUACUUAUCUAAUCAAAUAAGUAUAUGAGAUCAAUUUUUCAUAUUAUUACUAACCUUCACGUGGUUCUUGUAGAAUUGCUUGACAGCUGAGUUUGUAUAGAAUUCAUCCGGUUCAUCUAAACCGGCCCAUUCUACGUACUUUUUUCUCCCUCCAUAGUCUUCGUAAUUAUUGACUAAACUAAUUAUCAAUUUAAUUUUAAACCUUCCAGCUUCAUAGACGACAAAGUCUAGCCCCUGCUGGCACAAAAACUUUGUAUCAAUUACUCAUAAAACGCAAUUAUAGUCUGCUUUUAAUUUAUCUAUUAAUAAAUUAAGAUAUUUUUAUUAGGUCAACAAAAAGGUAUCUAGUACCAAAUUCUGCUUCUAAUUAUGAUUAAGAAUAUUAAAUUAUAUCUAUGCUUUUGCCAUUUUUGUGAUUAUCCACUUUUAUAUUAGCCUAUGAAAAAGACACGACUAUUUUUUUCAAGAAACAACCAAAAAAGUUUGAAGUUCGUUUGUCGGAAAGUAAUAUUUUGAAAUUCGAAUCAUUCAAUUUAGAUUCAACAAACAACGGUCAUCCAAAGAUUAAUAUACAUGACCAUAACAUAUUAUAUACCGGUAAAUAUUUCUUUAUAAUUCCGUAUAAUAGUGAAUACAUAAAAAAUAAUUAAAUAAAUAUGUGAGAUAGAAUGAUAAAUUUAUUAAAUCAGUAAGCUAACAGAUCAAAUCAUGAUAAAAAUAUAUUAAUUUGUUGUAUAAUUGAAAAAAAAUAUGAAAUUGUGAUUUCAUCGUUUUUGCAAUGAGCCAUCAAAGUUCUUAAAAUAUAAAAUAUACGUGUGGUUUACAAAAAAAAAAAAAAAUGUGUGUAUGUGUAUGCAUGCGUGUUACCUUGAAAACGUCUUCACUAUAGGAGCCAGGAGAGAUCUGAAGAGGAAUGUAAUCUCCUUCGUUGAAACCCCAAAUCCUAGCGACGUUCAUUCCCACGGCAGAUGCUUGCCGGAGCGCCGUCGUGACAAUACCCCUUCCUUUAGCCGCCGUGUCAGCCGCGGUGGUCAUCAUCCAAUAAGCAUUGAAGCCGUUUAAGUAAACUUGUUCUCCGUUCAACACGAACUGCGUGCCGUUUCUCCCGACGAAACCUGUAUUUGCGGCGACGCAAAUGCGGUUGUUUCCGAUGAGAAACGGAAGAAAGAAAAAGAAAAACAGCAAGAUGUUUAACAUUGUGAUUUGUGAAACGUUUGCCGACUUGAAGAAAAGAGAAUGACACAACAUAGAACUUUAAAGACAUUUGUGUGUGUUGUGUUAUAUAUAUACAUUACAGAUGUCUUACUGCCUACGCAUUUGAAUACUAUUCAUUUUUGUCACCAUAUUGCCUACGUUUAAUUGAAAAUAUGUACACGGAACGCGUGAAAUUUAGAUAGAGUUUUUUUUAACGUUUAGCAAAAUCAUUUUUGAACUUGUAUUCUUGGGUUAAGAAAACUAUUAGUACUUUAUAUACUGAUACAAUUUUUCUUUUUAUUUUUUUCAAAAUAAUGAGAGGUUUUAUUUUUGGCUUAAAAGCGUACUAUUUUUCAUUUCUCCAUUAAAAGGGUUUCAAAUUGUUAGAUUUAAAUAAACUAUAAAUUUUCUUACAGUGAAAGUUUAAGGAAAUUAUUUUGGCAAUUGGUUUUAGAAUAUAUAGAUGAUACGAAGUCGAAAUAAAAUGAUGAUACUAAAAUUAUUUACUUUUGAAUGUAAGCAUGACACGCAUGUGGAAUGGAGCUAUCAUACUUUAAGUUAGUACAUAUGUAAUGUAAGAUUAUUUUUAUUUCAUUAGGUCGACGACUCAAUCAUAUAAGAUGAAUUAUUGAAUUUAAAUUCUCAACAGAAAUAAUUAUUGAAAUUGAGAAACUUCACAUGGAUUUUGUACUCUCAAAAAAUUGAUUCGAGACUUUUUUAGGAUGCUCUGCGUUUUAAAACGCCGUCGUGACAAUACCCCUUCCUUCACAUGGAUUUUAGAUACUUUUUUUCUCUUCUCGGGCCCAUUAUGUUUUUUUUUUUUUUUACAUCUUUGGAUCGACAAGGCCCGAUCCAUAGCCAAUCCCUACUACGCGGGGUAACACGACUUAGUGGAGUCAAACUUCGGUGGGGAAGGCGGAGUCAAAUGGACUUAACCACUUGACUAAAGGCACAUCUCCCAUCUCCCGGGCCCAUUAUGUUUAGACUUUAAUUAUUUAAACUUGUCUAGCAAAUAACUAGGGAAUUUGGGAUGAUUAACAAAUAAAUAAUUUGGUCUACACCAUGUGAAAAUGAGAUCUAAGAUGGGCCAUUCUCUUCUCAAGUUUUGUUUCACGUUAUUGGGCCUUUGAUAAAGCCCGUAAAUUUUGUGUGCCAAGUUAAGAAUGUAGGAGAUGCAGGUGAUAUUUCCCAAGUAUGGAUCAAAAGGCUCUAGAAGCAACAAAUUGGCAAAGUCUCUCACUCAAAAUCCAAACCAGCAAUGGGAAAAUCAAGACACCACUUUCCUUCGAAUUGGCAGUUUGGUCAGAGCUUUAACAGCAACUUAAACUUCUGAAAGCACAUUUUAACUAUGGACAAUGUAAAUAAAGAUUUGUUUUCUUUAAUGAAAUGUUACAGAAUUCCAGUACAACAUAAAUCUAACAUCCAAAAGAGUGUUACCCGGUCAAACAUGAAGUCUGCAAACAUGCUUUUACUUUUAUCUUCGCAUUACACGAUUACGCUCUCUCUUGCGAAAUCGUUCUAACAUGAUUUGAUCAGUUGCUGCUUGUCUGCUUUUCCCUGAGUCAGCAUUAUUGUUACUACUGCUAGUAGAAGGUUUAGCUCCUUCACCAUCCGCUUGAGGUCCACCUCUAUCUUUGUAUAGCUCAGGAUGCUCUGCGUUUUAAAAGUUCAUAUCGAUCAAUACAAGAAUCAACACGAACAUGGACUAACAAAUGGAACAAAAGAGAAAAAGGAGUCAUAAAGCAAAACCUCUUCUAAGCUUCUCAGCAUAAUCUUUUCCACGUUGGAAGUAAUCCGCACUAUAACUAGACGGAAUGCUAAACUCUGACUUUGGCCGACCCAUAAGCCUCCUCUCUUGCAGAAGCUUCUUGGCAGCUUCUGUUUCUUCAAUGUUCUUCAGCUUGUAUCUAAAUAUUAUCCAUCCAAAAAAAACCAUUAAUCUCUAAAAUACUCAAAACACAUGUAUCUUCAAUCUAUGAUUGAGAAUGUAUUCAUACUCGAUUGGGAGUUGGACUUCUGCUAUUCCGGUAGUCCACUGCGUCGAGCUCUCUUCCGAGCUCCGCUUCUUAACCUGAGAAGGAAGGAAGGAAGGCUUUCAGUAACUAAUAACAAUCUUAAUUCCUGUUACACAUAAAUACUAAAAACAACCACAAAGCAACUUACUUUAAGAUGAUCAGGUAUCUUAUAUAACUCAUCUUCCACUCGCUUCAAUUCGUUCUCAACCUCCUCUGCAUCAUCAAUAUUCUUCCCCCUUUUCUUCGCCAAUUCUUGUUCAAUGUACUUUACCCUAAUGAAUCAAAACAAUCUUCAACGCUUACAAAGACAGCUCACUCUAGCUUAACCUAUUUUACUACCAAGAAAAUUAGGGCAAAACUUGUAAAGAGAUGCUUACAUGUUGGGAUCUUCAAUCAAAACAGCAGUCUCUUGAGCAAAAGUAUCUUGCAACACAAGCUCCUCUUUCUCUCCUUCAGCUUCAGUUUUCUCCACUGGUUUCACUUUUCCGAUGCUAGAUUGCGCCGUAGAUAAAGCUGGGAUCCCUAAUUUUCUCUCUCUCAGCUUCUGCAGAAACUUCACCUCCUCCAACGCUAAUCUGUAGAUCAACCAAAAAUCAAACCUUUUUAACAACCCAUCAAAUUAAUGGAAGAAACUCAAACGAUAAAACUCCAAAAGAAAAAAAAAACCUAAAGAUGGUGAGACUGACCUUCGCUUCUCUUCUUCAUCUGAAAUUGCGGCUUUGUUUACAUCAUUAUCUUCCUCUUCCUCCUCGAAGCUACGCUUCCUGAAAUUUCUCUUCGGUGGCAUCGCAGACAGAAACUAUCGGAUUCUUGAAAGAGCUUCUGGGACUUGAAUAGUGAAGAAGAAGACGACGACGACUCUAAGCUUUUAGAUUGAUCUGAAUUCUGAAAACACACUCCGUCGGCUAAAAUCACCAGCGAAACGCAUCGUUUUAAUAUGGGCCCUAUUAGUUAGCCCAUUAUAUAAUUUUUUUAAAACAUUUAAAUAAGAUCAUUUUAUAUAAUUUAUUACGGGCCAUAUUAGUUAGCCCAUUAUACAUUUUGCCAGGCCCACGUUAGCUUGUAUUCAACUUAAAAAGUGUGCAUCACUAGUCCAAGCUCUUGGACGAACACUUGAUCUCCAAGCAAGCAACCCUGCCUUAAUCUAUAAACACUUAGCCUUUUAACGAACCAAUAGUCUCUCAUCCGUAGCGACAGAUCAAAACCCUAAGAUUACCGAUCAAUAGUCUCUAGCUUUCUUGAUCAAUCCGUCAAAACCAACCAUGGAUGGUGCAUAUAUAGUUCUCACAAUUCAUCAGUUAGGAUCUCUCUCCACCGAAAUUGUCUUCUUGUUUUCUUUUGUUGCUUUGCAUCUGUAGAUCCGAGAUUGACUGUUGGGAAUUUCAUGUGACGUUUUAAGUUAAUAAUGGUUUAUACAUUUUUUCUCACAACGAUAAAAAUCACAUCAACAAGAUAAUCACAGUAAUACCUUCUUCUUUUUUUUUGUCAAUUACAGUAGUGUUAAAGAUAACCUUUCUAGGUUUCUCUCAUCAUAACCGGUUACAAUAUAUAUUCAUGUUUUAUUUGUUUGAUAAACUUUCAAGAAUUACUUUUUAGUGGCAAGCCUUUCCUUAAUCUUAUCAACCAUCUUAGACCCCACCUGAAAAGUCUUAGUCAACACAUCUUCCGGCAAAGCAGGCUCCGCCGCAAAUAGGGUUGCCGCAACGGAAACCGUUCCGGGCAACUGACUAUUAAACGCCGACAGAACAGAAGCCGGAGAUUUCCCAUUGUUCUUCUGAAAAUGCACAAGCCCUCUUGGAAAAACGAAAACUUCACCAAUCUUAAUGGUUUUAGUGAAAAGCUUAUUCGCCGUCGUGAUAAAUCCAACUUCGAGCUCUCCUUCGAGGACGUAGACGACUUCGGUGGCGCGUGGGUGAGUGUGCGGUGGGUUUAAACCGCCCGGCGCGUAGUCUAUACGUGCUAAGGAGACGGAGAGAGUGUUGAGGCCUGGGAUCUUCUCUACGUUGGCUCCAGUCACGGCGGAACCCAUAGUGGAGUUUAUGGCGGCGGGUUUUGAGAUUCCGGCGAAGAAGAAGUCGGACGCCGUGAUGUUUGAUGUUUCCUUGCAUGGGAAUCCAUUCAGUUUGGUUCCUGCCAUACGCACAUCGUGGCCAUAAGAUAGUAAGUCAACUUAGAUUUUUUUUUAGUCAACUUAGAUUUAUUGGUGCAAUUAAUAUUCCCACAAAAUAUCUUUGGAAAAAAAAACAAAAUCUCUAAUUUCAACAUAUGUAUUAAUUUUACUUUUGGUUUGAAAUUUACAUAAAAGGUUAAUAAAGUUUGAGAUGAUCCUGAUAGAUAGAUAUUAAAACAUGACGAUAGAUUGAAAAUUUGAACUAAGAUAAUUUCUACCGUGAGAUUUAUCGGCAACGCAGAGAUCUUGAAGAGCGUCGGGAUCGUAUGCACGAGUUGAAGUGAUAAUGCAAGAUAACACAAUGAUAAUAGAAAUUCUCAAAUUCAUCAUGGCUCCAAAUUAAAUAUUCGUGAAAAGAUGGAUUUUAUUUAACUAUGAAAAAAGAAGCUUGAAGUUUUGAUACUUAUAGAAUCUUAGACCAGUUUGAUCGACAAGUCAUUUGCUUGGCGAAGAAAAAAACCGAACAUUUUCAUUUGUCUUGAAUACCAAACUAAGAAAUGUACGUCAUAGCUAAUUAGUAGGUAAAACGAUGCCUUUCUGACAUUGUUUUUCACUAAAGCAAGUCUUAUUGAGACAAAAGGAUUUUUGGUAAAAGAAUGUGUAUGUAUGUGUGUGUGUAUAGACAGAUUGUUACUUUAAACAAAAUAUAUGAAUUGUGUCUCGAUUGUUUCCGACGUCAUAUUUCUUGUGUAUGUGUGUGUGUGUGUUUUACAUGAGAAAACAAAACAAAAUAAUAUAUUAUUUCAAGCUUUAAAAUAGAAAAAAUUCCCAGUUUCCAAAACAAUAAUUUUGGAAAUUUUUGUUUGCUUAUGUUUAGGUUUAGUAUUUACGGCUAUAAGCCUAUAACUAACAAGGAAAUUUUCUAAAAUCUUUUCAAGGUACGGGUUUAUUUAAAACAAUAUACACUAAACGCAAACACAUACCCAAAUGAAAUCAUCAAUGUGUUAUGUGUAAGAAAGUGUUUAAUAGUUCUCGAAGUCAAGUUUUCUCAUUUCUUAUUUUCUCAUACACCCUAUAACUUCUAAGUAACAUGCAGUGUGCAGAGGUGAUUGAAUGUUACUUUUUGUAUACAGCAUUAUCAUAGUGUAUACUAGUAUCACCCAGUGGGCCUGAAUUUGAGAUGCUGAUGAAGAUAAAGCUCAUUGGGAUGUAACCAAUAUUAUCAGAGACACUAAAAUAAGGGAAAUGCUCUUAUUUCCCUUGUUCCUACGUCCAAUGCUCGUCCAAAGGAUCGGAUGUCUCGAUAUAUUUUACAAAUAUCAGAUAAAUAAAAAAAAAUAUAAUGUUACAAGAAUUUAUACAACUUCGAACUUAUCGUAUGACACAAAGGCCUCAAAUAAAAAAAAAUAAAAAAAAAUUAAAAAUAAAAAAAAGGCCUCACAUAAAUUGUCAUAUUUUUUUUUUUUUUUAACAACGUUUACUUCACAUAAACUUUUCUGGAGCUACUUACUUAUCAUAGUCUUCUCAUCGCAUGGGAAGAAAAAUCUAGGAAACUUGGAAAACAAGGAACCAAACCGUGAAGGCAUUGAGGAGAAGAAGCUGGUGGUGGUGUUGUAAGAAAGAGAGGUUGAUUAGGUGAGUGUGGGAAUGAAAAAUUAGUAAACGGUGGUAAUGGCCAAUUUGACGCCGGAAUCAACUGUGACGACAUCAUUUGAUUCGCCACAUUUUGCCGUGCCACAGCCAUCGCAGUCAACUGGUGGUUGUUCAUUAUUCCAUAGUCUAAUAUAGCCGAAGGAAAAUAAGGAUUCAUCCCCAUCAUUGACAUCACCUGCAAUUACAACAUCAACUUUGGUUACAACUUAGUUUCUGAAUAUAUAUAUAGCACAAAUUUUAUGUCCAAAUUGAUAAUAGGUCUAGACUAGUGGAACAAUAACGCAGUGGCUACCGUAUAAAACAUUUAGUUGGUAAACUUAAUGAAAUGCAAGAUUAAAGAAAUUUCAAUCAAUAUAACAUGUUCUUUUAUAUAACUAAUAUAUAUAUAUCACACUUGUUUAUAGUUAUUUUCAUGAUUUAAUUUUGAGCAUAAAAUAAUAUUAAUGAGUAGUGCGAUAUUAAAAUUGCAAACAUAGAAAAUAGAUUGUGUAGAAUGUUUUUCUUUAAAAAAAAAAAAAGAAUGUGUAAAACGUCUAAUAAUCAUCUAAUCGACCACCUCAAACGUGUGAUUUGAUUAGGUAGGUUAUAUACUGUCUACCCUAACCCCGAUAUAUGAAUCAUAACACCCAAUCCUCCCGGAUGAUCACCAACAAGUAAAUGUGUAAAUAGGAUCAAGGAUACUGAAUAAGGUUAAAAUAUAGACCUUGAAUUGAAGCUGAAGACUUUUCAUAUACUCAAUGGCAUUAUCGAGAACUGAAACCUUGUCCGUCUGAAAACCAAAACAAAGAAAACACCGCUGGUUAUUGGAAAACAAAAUGUAAGGCAAAGAUUCCUUGAAACAUAUAUAUAUGGAACUUUAUACACACAAAAAUGCAUAGUAACAUGUUAUAUAUAUAUAUAUAUAUAUUAAUAUAUAUCAACCUUGUGACAAUCAGGUACAAGUUGCUGUAGCGUACGCAUCUUAUUACACAGCUCGUCGCUUCUUCUUCUCUUGGAACCUUUUCGUAUCACUGAAGGAACUUCUCUAGUAAACCCAUCUGAUUCCUCCUGAAUAAAAAAUUUCCAGUGAAACAAAAUUUUAAAAACAGUCAAAACUAAUAUAUAAUACGUAACAAGGAAAUAUAUCGACUUACAUCACUGAAGACCUGGCUACGACGCCGUUUUGGUUUCUCAUGUUUGUUUCUCAAAUAAUAUCGAUUAUCUGAAAUAUGAUCAUGAUGAUCACCAGUUUCAGAAUGUUCAUCUGGGACAACAACCAACAAAUCUGUCUUAGGUACUUCUUCUUCUACUUUAUGAAUCUCUGGAACAAGUUGGAGAUGAUUAUCUGUUUGAUCAUGAUCAAAGUAGUUGUCGUAGCUCCAUUUUAAGCCGUGAAUUAGACGAUCUUCAUCACUUCUUCCCUUUUCUUCUAUAUCAUGAUCUUUCACAGCAAAUGAUCCAACGUCGUUUCUCCAUCCUAGUUCCAUGAAAUCUUGAUUAUUGAACCUACAAAAAGUAGUUUAACUGUUAGGGUUUACGAGAUUACGGAUAAAAAGAAAAGAUACAAGUGGAAUCGUAAGACUCCGAAACCUCUCCCUUAAUUAUACGUACAUGUUAAUUAAAGAGAAAUCGGAGAUGUAAAACUCGAGAAACUAUUCUUUUUCAGGGACUUGAGAUCUGUCUGAUAAAAUGGAACCCCAUAAGAUUAUGAUAUAGGUCUUAUUAUAGGAUACGAUCGGAGAUCGGGAGAUGGAUAUAGUACAGCUAUUAACUCAACCAUCGAACCACUUAUGUUUUGCCACGUUUCGUAUUCUAAAUGGUAAUUCUUUUUUUUAGAAGUUUUCUUUCUUUCUUUAAACGGGACACCGACAGCAAUAAAAACAAUUCAAACUAGAUUUUAAUACUAGUACUAACGCGUUGUUAGACAUAUUUUUGUCACUUGAGAUCAAACUGAUAUUUCCUGUGUUGUUUUAUGAUAAAAAAAAUUCUAUUAAAACAAUGUUAUUUGAAAAUUUAAUGUAUUUUUUUCAAAAAGAAUAGUAUUUGUUUGAAUAUAAAUAUAAUUAGACACACCUAACGUUAAUAAAUAAAAAGUUGGACAAAAUAACAUUAAUAAAUAAAUAAAGUUGGAGAAAAAAAAAUCUAAAACAGGUAUAUGAAAGAAAUCUUUGACGGUACUAGAUACUCUUGCUUUAUAUGGGUAUGUAAUUCUGUUUUUAAUUAAUUAUCCAAAACGAAGCAUACUUGUGUAAUGAAUUUAGACUUAACUAAAUAACAGUAAAACUUUCUUCCCCAAAAAUCUACGCAUGCAAGUAUACAACGUCUUAUAUGCACACACGCACACAUAUAUGUAACGAUUUUUUUAAGUAAUCUUAUUGGUUAAUUAAUACUCGGGCAUGUGAAAGAGGUAUAAAUCUAUCAAAUAAUUUGAGUGACAUUUAAUUUUGAUGUUUUCUCCUUCAGCUGUAAUACAUAACGGGUAGGACCAUAUUUAUCCUUUUAAUUAACUUUCCCGUAAUGCUUAUCAUUUCAUCCUUGACUAGUCGUAUACUUUAUCUUAGUACAAAAAAAUAUCUAUAAUAGAAAAAUAGACGCCUUAAGAAAUCUCAAAAAUAAAAACAUUAUAGACGCCAUUUGUUUAGGUGAUAAGAGCAUGAUUAAUAAUGAUUGCUUAAAAAUAGUUAUUAAGAGUAUUAAAAUAAUAAAUUUGUAAAAGUAACAUAUGGAUGGAUCUUAAUGUUAAUUUUGGUUUUUAGCUAAGCUACUUUAGCUUUGGAUCUUAGUCUUUAACAAGAUUUUUCUUUAAUUUUUUAGCUAAGAUUUAUCUAAGAAAUGAUUAAGACACCACCUACAAUGGUGGUCUAAGCGGUCCCUCUGAAAAGCUCAACCCAAAACUUUUCGUAAAUAAUGAAAUAAAUAGCAAUAUUAGUUAUGGAGCUGUUUAUUCAUUUUACCAAAUAGAUGGUUCUAUACAUAUUACCUAUUUAAGUAUUUGUGGGUGUUUAUGAUAUUUCAUAUCUAAAAGAAUUUACAUAAUCAUAAUUCUGCUGUUUUAUUCUUUCUCUACGGUGGACCAUCGAUUAUUUUUCAAGUGAGAGAUAUACAUUUGGAGAAUUAUUUGGGUUGUUGAAAAGAAAAUCAUUUUAGACUUUUAUCCAAAAAACCCACGUGGUCUCUGGGUCCUAAGCCUAUUCUAUAAGCGAAUCAGUUUUUUGUUUUCUGAAACCCACACGACACAUUUAUUGGAAUUUUAGAGACACGUCGUCAUCAAUCACACACCAAGCAGGUGCGAUGGUCCACACUAUUGAUUCAAUAACCAAAACUCAACAAUAAUUACAACAUACUGUAUUUUGUAUUACAAAAAUCAUGGUCCACAUAAACCUUUUUUUUUUUUUUUUCUGUUAAACGGGCUUGCAAUGUCCACAUAAAUAAAACUUCUUUAUGAAAAAAACUCCAAUUAUUACCACAUAUUCUUCUGUAUAUAACAAAAAUCAGAAUAAUAUUAACGCUUUAACAGACCAACAAAAGAACACCAAAUAAAAAAUUAUUCCGGGUAUUUUGUGAAUCAUUAGAAAAGAAGGAAAUAUUUUGUUAAGAUAAUGUUUAAUAGUAACUUUCUGCGUUGAAUCAAAUGGGCCUGAAGAUCCUAAAAGAGAGGAAGAGAAGGCGUGUUGUUCACGUGAUGCCCUCGUGAUGGACAUGCUUGUGUCUCUGACACUCUUGGGUACUUUAUAUUUCGUUGGUGUCUUAGCGAGCGACGAAGCAAAACCACAGCCACUCCAUGUAUCCAUCUCCUAAACGACAACGACCUCUCGGAAUAUACAUUCCAAAAUCCAAUCUAAUCUUAGGGGCCAUUCUUUUUUUUCUCUCGUUCCAAUCCACUUACACAGUAAUCAUGAAAAAACGUUUAUGCCACUGAUUCUAUUUUUUUUUUUUUUUAAAUAGAAUUUCUCCCAUCAUUUUCUCUUGGAACUUUUAUAGUGAACUAAUUCCAUCACACACACGUCCCAACCCGUACCGUACAUUCAUUUUUUAAUAAAGAUAUCAUAUAUAUUCCUGGAAAAAAUAACAUUUUAAGAAUAACAUUACAGGUAAAACUUUAGUCACAAAAUAUACGAUUCCAAAGAUAUUUAUGAACCAAUUAUUUGUUGAAACUUCAAUCAUACUAGUUUUCAUUUUUUUCAAAUGAAACGAAUAGCAAUUCUGGCUUGUUCCGGUCUGAAUUUAGGUUUGGAUUUGGUUUGGUUUUAGUCAAACAAAAAUGUCAAAGAUUUGAAUGUGAUUACAACUAUUUUUAAAAGAAUAGUUAAAACUAUAAUUUUUUUUAAUAAAUGUUGGUUUGGUUUGAUUACCAAAAUGAAAAAUGUAUCUCUUUUUUUCUCAAAAGAAAAGGGAAAAAAAAAAGAAAAAAAAA
rnacentral:lncRNA from 1 species